rnacentral:lncRNA from 1 species
AUAGAAUAUAUGGGCAAUUGGUGUGGGAAGAUCAAGCCGGUGCAUGUGCACCCAUUGAAGCAAGAAAGCGUUGAGCUUGCCACGAGUCUGAAUAAAAAGUCAUCGAAUAAUUUGAGGAUCAAGGUACUUAUUAGUAAAAACCAACUGAAUGACUUGAUGGCGAAGAUGGAUUUGAGCAAAGAUGAUAAUUCCGAUUCCGGCUCCGAGCUCGGCCGCGUGAUCCUACAAGAAUGCUUUGAAGGUAACCUAACAGCUCGUGUUGCGCCAGAUAACUGUAAGCAGGUUGCAACAGGCUAUGCCAUGAAUAGGAGUUUGAGUACCAUAUAUGAAUGAUAAGUUAUUGAAAACUUAAUUUAUGCUGUUUCUUUUAAUUUGUUUCCAAGUAAUUUUAUCAGAAGAAAGAGAUGUAUAUGUUACAUAUCAUGAAGCUAUAUUAUAUAUGUAUGUGAUAUCGAUUUCGCUGAUGACGAAUCUUUAGUGGUUCAUCUUUAUUAAUCGUUUGUUUGCUCUCUUUAUUUUAUUUUAUUUAUGUAUUAUGCUUUUUCUGUCAAAAUUAUCGCAUUCAUUUGAAGUUAGGAACGUAAAUUUUGUGGUGUUAAACAUAAUCAUCAGCUUAAGUUCACCGCACAUGUGCGUUCAUUCAGGUACCCUUUUUUCAAUUUAGUUUUUGAAAAAUACUAAAGAAAGAGAAAGAUGAGAGAAAGUGUAUUAAAAAAAAAAGAGAGAGUAAAAUUCUCUCACUUUCUCUAAUCUUUCUCUUAUUUUUCUCUCUUUUUAGCAUUGCUCUUUUGGGAUGGGUGUUGACUGUUGAGUUUCUGCUGUCCUUGGAAGUAAUAAGUUGAAUAAAAGCAAUUGGAAGCCAUGGGCCAAAUAACACAACAUUUGGGCAACUAUUUUCCGAGCCUGGACUAGAAAUACAUCCAAGGGUGCUGUUGGCACACCUCUAAUAGCCUAUUGAAACCCCUGUUAUCUUUAUUUACAAGUUUACCCCUAACUGAAACUACCCCUGAACACCCACAUGCAGUGCAGACCUGGAAAUGAAGCCUGAAGACCCUAAUUACAGCAAUAGUCUUGCAGAUAUAUUCUUUUUCUUCUCAAGAGUUUGACGAGUGUUCAAAAGCUGUCUCUUUACCAGUGGUAAGAGUAAUUUAUACUUAUUCAAAUUAAUUUAUUGAUUUGUGUUAAUUAAAAAUUGUUCCUGAUUAUCUCAAGAAAUGUUAAUUGUGCCCUCCUGUUUUGAUGCAUGGAGGAGGAGUCCAAACCUAUAAAAAUGGUUUUCUUGAAUGGAUUAAUGAUGAGGACCAAAAACAUUAAUGUUUUAUUCUUUUUCUUUUUUUCUUUUUUUCAUAUUGAUUAAAUUCAUUUUUGGGAAGCUAGUAUUUUUAAGUUUUUUAGAGAGAAAGUUUGAAGAAAAAUAGAGCUAUUAAUUACGGCUGAAGAACUUUAAGAGUUAGAAAAUCAUUGGAAAUUGAAAUAUUUAUAAAUAAAAGGGAUGUUUAUUUAUUAAACAUUAUAUUUUAGUAUUAAGUGGAGUAUGAUUGAAAUAGAGGUUUUAAUAGGAUUAGGGAGGGAUGACUAUAAUAUUGGAUCGGGAUUUUCUCCUGAUCUGAUCUGAGCAAAUAAUUCAAUUAUUAAUUGGUAAUUAAUAAAUAAAAAAGUAAAAGAAGUUAAAUCUUACUCAUACACUAUUACUAAAAGAUACAUGGCAAAAGAUCUUUAAAAACUCAGUAGAGAUCUGUUGGGGGACUUAGCAUAAGAUUUAUAGGUAUCCAACCCAAAAGACUAGCCUUUUAGGUGGAGUGACCUACCACCUUAUAAACCCAAGCAUCUCUACUUUACUAACCAAUGUGGGACACAACUCAACAAUCCCCCCCUCGGACGAAACCACCGCCGGACUCCGGUCCUUUCGUCCGACACACCUGAGUUGUUCCACCACCACAUUCUCGAUCAACUUGUGCCUUGUGCAGAUAAUUUUGGACAGCAAUAUUAGAAGUACUCAUAAUUGAUUAAUCAUAAUCAUUUAAGUAAUUUAACAGCUGCAAAUUAAUUCAUGUUAAUCUUGCCUGAGAUGAUUAUCGACACUCGCAAAUAGCCGUAAUUAAUUUAGAUGGCAUACAAACACAUGUCCAUUACAAUUAUAAUGACAAUACUUGUGAAGGUGCAAGGACAAUUAAUUCUGCCGGCAAUUGAAGAGUAAUGUAAAAGAAUCAAUUGAUCAUUUAUAUAUAUAAUCGCAACGUUAGAUUUACUGUAAUCAUAAUCCAACUUAUCAAGUAAAUAUGAUCGAUACACGUAACAAACUCGUUAGCAUAUUAAUUACAUCUUACCUAUUCAUAAUAUAGAUUAUUACAAUUAUACAAACCACUUUUUAUUUAUAGAACGUGGGAGAGUUUACCCUUCGAAGAUCAAUUAUGAGUCGUUAGCGUACAUAGACACACGUAUUUUUUAAUCAUACCCUAAUCUAAUAUAUGUAUUAAUAAAUCUUCAAAUAUCCCCUCGGUGAUUUCAACAUCUUCCACUAUAAAUAUCACCUUUUGCAAAGUCAUAUGUUUUCUAUAGUUUGUAGUAAUGUACACAUUCAAUUUCGGAUGCCAACUUAUAAUUGGAUUGUCAUGUAUAUAAUCUAGUUUCUAUAUAAUCAUAGUUUUGAAAUUUGUAUAAUAAACGAUAAUACUACUGAAGUAACUAUAAGAAGCAAUACGUUGUAGACAAUUAAGCACCAGAAAAAAAUUAUAAAGCACUCUUUACUAAGAUAAUAAGCACUAGAAUAGAGCUUUAUAUAAAGCACUUUUUACUAACCUGUGCAAUGAAUAAUAUUGCAUCUUUAGAAGAUCACCUAUGACUUGAAGGGCUCCAUUAAUUCCUGCAAAGAAGGCAACAAUAUUACAAAAUUGGGUUUUGCUAAUUUUUCCAUAUUGCUUGUGACUUUAUAUAAUUCUUAUGUUGUAAUUUUAUAAAAUUUUCAUGCAGUAUGUUUGGAACUACCAAUAGUUUAUUUACAAAAUUGUCUUUUCAUUAUUUACAAGCUCAAUCACUCAAGUUGUUUUAGAAACUCGUCACUCUCAUUUUCCCCGACUUCUUCUUCCUCACUUCAUCUUGUUUUAGGAAUCUUUUUCCAUCUCAAAUAAACUUAUGAUGACAAGCUAUUUGUCACUCAUUUGCUUUUUAAUUUUUAAAAUUAGGGUCUAUGUGUGAUUCCCUAAUGACAUCAUACUCUAUAGUCCGAACAUCGUCAAAUAAUUAAAAAUAUACUAACAAUCAAUAAACUAGAGCCAUUUAAUGGUGCCGGUUUGUGGGGUAUAGUAUCCAUAGGGAACUGUAGUCAUGGCUUUGAAGCUGAUAAUUUUUAUUGUUAAUUGAACUUAAUUCACAAGAUAUUUUUCAAAUUCAAAAAGUGCUAAUUUUGAUGUUGAGGUUUGAUUUAAUGGCUUUUUUUUAAAGAUUUUUUAUUACCUUACAAAAAUUAGUCUAGCUUGCUCAGCCUCCAACUUAAAGGAGUUAGCUUUUGUUGGGGGACUUAGCAUAAGAUUUCUAGGUAUCCAACCCAAAAGGCUAACAUUUUAGGUGGAGUGACCUACCACCUUAUAAAUCCAAGUAUCUCUCAUUUACUAGUUAAUGUGAGACACAACUCAACAAUCCCCCCCUCGGACGAAACCACCGCCGGACUCCGGUCCUUUCGACCGACACACAUGAGUUGUUUCACCACCAUAUUCCGGCUACUAGGGUCUAGCUCUGAUACCACUUGUUGGGGGGACUUAGCAUAAGAUUUCUAGGUAUCCAACCCAAAAGGCUAACAUUUUAGGUGGAGUGACCUACCACCUUAUAAAUCCAAGUAUCUCUCAUUUACUAGUUAAUGUGAGACACAACUCAACAAUCCCCCCCUCGGACGAAACCACCGCCGGACUCCGGUCCUUUCGUCCGACACACCUGAGUUGUUCCACCACCACAUUCCGGCUAGUAAAGGGGAGAUGCUUGGGUUUAUAAGGUGGAGGCCCCUCCACCUAAAAGGCUAGUCUUUUGGGUUGGACACCUAGAAAUCUUAUACUAAGUCCCCCCAACAAGUGGUAUCAGAGCUAGACCCUAGUAGCCAGAAUGUGGUGGUGGAACAACUCAGGUGUGUCGGACGAAAGGACCGGAGUCCGGUGGUGGUUUCGUCUGAGGGGGGGAUUGUUGAGUUGUGUCCCACAUUGAUUAGUAAAGGGGAGAUGCUUGGGUUUAUAAGGUGGUAGGUCACUCCACCUAAGAGGCUAGUCUUUUGGGUUGGAUACCUAGAAAUCUUAUGCUAAGUUCUCCCAACAAGAUCAGAUCGAGAGGAUCCUAUUCCGACUAUAAUAGUCCAUCUCUAUAUCUAAAUAAGAAAAUGGCCUAAAACUUUUUUCAUGAGAGGAGCUCGUAACAAUAUGCUUCUACUUAUCACUACUACAUGUACAUCAGUGAAUUUAAGAAGAUAUAUAUUGCCAGCUCAUAUGGACUGCAGAAUCUAUUCAGCUCUGUAGUUCUUAAUGCUUACAAGCUUCAAAAGUGAGACCAAACUACCAAACGAAGCCAAUGUACUGAGAAUAGACGAAACUGAAAGGCAAUCCACAAAUGCCAUUCUCACCCGUACGUAGUGGUGGAUGCAUGUAUGGGUUCAUAUGGAGGAAACACGUGACAGUCAAUUGCAUGCAGCCACGUGUCCGGAAUUUACGACGGUCAAAGAAGAAGACAUAUCAUGCAUUAUGAUAUGUUACUGUACGAAAGAAAGCAGACUGCAGACACUAACACUCGAGGACAACGUUGGCAUAAAUUAAAACAGAAUUGACAAUGCAAGUCCAGGGAAACACAACUGGCCAUGUUAACUCUUAAAGUUUCCCCAGUCACUGAUCACAUGCAGGGCCGAGGCCGACCACACACAUUUGCUUACCUGAUACUGUUGUACAUAUGUACAUACACUGAUAGGCACACUACAUAUUUUAACUCUCGACGCUAGAGUUGAGAGUAAAUGCCUACUUUAAUCAAAACCGCUGGAUUUUAAAUCCUAGGAGUUCAAAACACCCAUCUGACGACUGGUAUAUUUAAGAAGUGAAAAAAUAAAAUAAAGGAAAGAAAGUAAAAUGGAUUUUGAUUUUGUGAAUAGAUUAAUAAUAUAAGUAUUUUAUAAUAAGUAAAAGCUCUGGCAAUUGCAUGUGCUUGCUCUGACGGAGCCUGCCUUUGCCUGGUUUUGCAGCCUUCGUGACCAUAUUCAUGUGGUUGGAGCUGGGUUGCUUGUCUUUAAGCCAGCCUCUCCGUUCUUUUAUUUCCACACUCCUUUUUCUUUAUCACUUGGAUUUGGAUGAACUGUGUAUAUAUUAUUAAAAUGUUUUUAUUCUAAACAACGAGUAGUCAAGAACGAUGGUUUGUCUUUGCUCUUCGACCCACAAUUGAUAAAUUAACUUCAUUUCACGGUGUAUUGUUGUAGUUGUACCUUAACGCCUGAUUCACCGCCAAUACCAGUUAUACAAAUACUAUGUUCCCGAUACUCGAAAUUUUAACGUAGUAAAUAAGAACACGCACGCACGCACGCAUUCGGAAAGCUUGAGGAUUUUACCACUUCACUCAUGGGCCCAGGAUCUUGAAUUAAAGAUGAAUUCUCUUUCUUUCUCUGGAAAUUAUUCAUUGUGGAAUUCCUCCUGUCAAAUUUAAAUUUCUCGCGAUUAUAAUUUUAUGCCCAAGCUGGUCAUGUCACUUUUUAUGGAAUUGGAGUAGUGAUGAGAUUGGAAUAUGUGAAUCUUUAAUGAAGAAAUGUUGUUAAUCACUUUUUAUAUGUGUGUGUGAUGUAUACUAUUCAUACACCGAUACACAUGCCAUUGGAAUACUAGUCCAGGUGUGAUGUUUUUGAAUUGUGAUGUAAGCUUCUUCUAUGAGUUAGAUAAAGGUUAAUUAUGCGCAUAAUAUUGGAACGCAAGCUUGAGUAAUUAAUUAAGACAAUCAAAUUAUAAUGAAGCCGAUAUGAAUUAGCAUUAGCUCUUUAAUUAUAUAUAUAUAUAUAUUGUAACUAAACCUUGAGUAAUUAAUUAAAACAAUGAAAUUCAUAAGAGGCCUCUAUACAUUAGCCUUAGGGGAGAAUGAAAAUGUUAAACUGCUCUCAUUAUUAAUUUAUUAUCCUUAUUUAUUGGAAGUUUGAAUUGAGUUAUAAUUAAUAAACAUAUCACUGUCCUCCAUCACAAUUCCAAUGAAAGAUACUUCCCUGUUUAAAUGAAUGAUCAUUUCUAUCUGAGAGCAUAUGUUCGUGUGCACAGUGUGACAUGUGAUUGCAAGCAUGUGAAAUGAAAAGAUAAAAUAAAAUUACUGAUCCUUUCUCAUACUUUCCAAAAUAUAACGACAUAAGCUCAGUAAUGCUUUUCUAUCCUUUAUCAAAGAUGUGUGUAUAUAUAUUGUGUAAGGAGUACGUCUCAUUUUAAUAGAGUGAGAAUGUCAUUAACAGACAAAAAAUAUAAAUUUUAAUAUAUUAAUAGAUUAAAAAAAAUACAAUCUUUGAUGUAUUAAAAUAUUUAUUUUUUUUGAGAUAUUUCAGUGGCAUUCUCACUUUAUUAAACUGAGGAUGUCCUCUUAACCUAAAAUUAUUAUCCAAGAUCCUUCGAGGUGGGAUCUCGGCUCAUUCGAUGUUUAUCACACAAGUAUGUAUUCCUUCAUCCCAUAAAUUAUUUCUCUCCUUGUGCCUUGAAUAUGCUUCCUCAAUUCAUUGACACAGUGUCUCACGUCUUAUUGGAAGUGAGAUUACUAGGUUUGUGGUGAUAGACAGACCAAAAAUAAUGAGAAAGUGCCUCUAUAUCUACAUCUACACAGUCGUUAAUUAUAUUAUAAAUUUUUUAUGAGAAUUCUUAAAAAAAAAAAAAUCUAAGUCUAAGAACCAUUCCAAUUGUUAAUAAGUCAUGAUAUGUGUACAAAGUCAAAAUGUAGAAUUUUUAUUCCAAAUGACAUGACACUUAAUAGGACGGUCAUUAAUUAGUGACAAAGAAUACAAAUUUUGUAUCUAUACUACUAUAAAUAUUAGGACAUACUACUAAAAUAUUUUAAUGUAUCAUUUAUUUAUUAAUAUUGUGAAAUUAUCUCAUCAAUGAUAUUUUCAGAAAGUCAAUUAUUACUAAACAAGCCAUUGAUCGGUAACAACGAAUACAAACUCUACAUCUAUACUAUUAUAAAUAUUAUGACAUGUAUGCUUUAUACACUACUAGAAAUAUUUCAUAUGAAUUAUUCUAAAACAUUCUGGCAAUACUGUACACCAAUAAAUUCAAUGAUUAAAUUAUAAAAAAAUGCUUCAACAAAAAAUAAAUUAUCAUAUAUAUGUUAUUAGGUCUAAAGGCCAAUUUGAGAAUAAGUUUUUAGAGGUUCAAAAGUGAUUAUGAGCUGAAACUUAAUUUUGAUGUUAAGUAAAUUUGUUCAAAAAUCACCCAAGCACACAGUAGAUUUUAAAAAGCAGGAAACAAAUAUCUUUUCAAAAUUUAACUUUAAGAAUCAGUUUUAAACUGAAUACAAUUCUAUCCUCACGUAUAUUAUGAAAAUUGAAAAUUAUCCUUAUUCAAUUAGAAAAUAAAAUAAUUAAAUUUAAAUAAAUUAUUUUUUAUUACCAAUCAUAUUGAAAUAACAAAAUAAAAAAUAAAAUUAAUGAAAUAAAAAUAUUUAUUUUAGUUAUCAAUUAUUAUAUAUGCACAAUAAAAAUAUUAUAUAUACAUAUAAUUAAAUGUGUAAAUAAAUUUUAUUCAACUUUAUAUAUAUUUCCGUCAUUUGUGUUCUUAUAAUAUUUUAACAAGUGAGAUUUAUUAAAUAUAUAUGACUGUUUUUAAAAUUCAUAAUACUUUUUAAAAUAAAUUUUAUCAAAUAUUUUAUUAAUUUUUUUACAAUUGAUUAUUUGAACAAGAUAACUAACUAGAAUUAUUUUAAAAACUAUAGCAUUAUCAAACUGGCCCUAAAUAUGAAUUAGAAAUGCUAAUAAUUGAUGAUCAUAAUUAAUGCUCCUUUGUAACACUGAAAGGUGAAUAUAUUUCGCUAAACCGCAAGAAUAUAAUUUAGUAUGAAAAAUAAUCUUGGGAGAAAUAGAAUCGGAUUUGCAGAUCGCAAAUGUAUUUGUAUAUGCAUAUCGUGGGAAUGAUCUUUCUUAUGAAAAUCAAAUUUACACCAAAAAAAAAAUAAUCUGCGAAAUCGCUUUUGACCAUGUCCAAAAUUUCUAAAAAAAUUUUAAAAAACGAUAUUAUAUGAAAACUUUCUUGAAAGUCAGAUUCGGAUCUGCAGUGAUUAUGAGUUCUCCUUUUAGCUUUUGUUCGCCCAAGACCAUUCAGUGUUUGGUUGGCUACCACAUUCUCAAUCUCUUAAUUAAGCUGAACAGCCUUAUUAGCCGCCAAAAGAGCCGACAAUCACAGAGCCAAAACCACAAGGAUCAAAUAAAUAAAUAGACGUAAAAUAACAUAAAAAAAAUAUUAUUUAUUAUAAAGAAGAGAUAAAGUGAAAAAUAAUUAUUCAAUAUUUCUUUAGAAAAAUAAUGGGAUAAAACCGUAAAAAAAAAAAAAGAGCUUUGACUUUGACCGAACCCCAGGAGCAGGAGAGUCCAAAAACCGUUGGGUGGUAGCGACAGUCAUGAUUCUGUUCUGUUCCAGAGAUAUAAUAACUGACUGGAACGGAUCUGUAAUUAGUAUAUUAAAUUACCCAGCUUUCCCGUAUAUUAUCAUCAUUAUUUCUCUGCUCCCUCUUUCCUUUCUAUUUGACCAUUGCAGACGCCGCUUGCCGCGCUUACUAGUUCGAUUCCUUUUUCUUUUCUUUUUUUUGUUUUAACCCACUAAUUUCUUCACAAACCUUCUUUUUAAUUAAGAAUUUUAUUAUUAUUUUUUUAAAUUACUUAAUUACUCUUUUUAUUUUUUCUUUUUUAAUUUCAUAAAUUCUCAUCAAUUCAUUAAGAUAAAUACUUUUAGUUACAAAUAAUUAGAAUCACUAGCUAAGAAGAACAAAACACACCAUUAAAAAAUAAACGUCAACAAAUUUUUAUCAACCAUGAAAGUUAAUAAAUAUUAAGAAAUUAAUUUUUAUCAAACAAUGAAUAUCAAGAAAAAAAUCUUAUAUAUAGAAAGCCUUAAAUAUAAAUCAUAAUCAAGAAUGGGUAUAACCAAAUCGGACCAGAAAAAUUAUCGAUCCGGCUUCAUUUUUUGUAGUUUGGUUUAAUAUUUUUCUUAAGAAAAAAAUCAAAUAUUCUAGUUCGGUAUAAAACCAAAUACUCCAGCUUGUUUUUCGAUUUAAAACUUUAAAUCCAAAAAAUAAACCAAAAAACUAAAAAAAUAAUUUUUGAAUAAAAAAAAUGCUACUUGACGUUUAGAUUGUGUUGAACCAAACUGGUUCGAUUUAUUUUUUUUAUUAUUUUGGUUCCAUAAUUUAUAAGUAAAAAGAAAAAAAAAAAACAAAUGGGUUAACACCAAAACUGAACCUAAUAGAAAUCUCCAAACCGAUUUUGUAAAAUUCCCAUAUCGAAUCAAACCAAAAUUUUUGGUUUAUUCCUAACCAAACCGAACAGAACUGGUGCCCACCCCUAAUAAUAAUAUACUAAGAAAAGCUAAAAGAAUGAAUUCAAAAGAAAAACCAAGGCAGUGUUUGUUCUUUAUCUGAAAUUUGAAUGGAUCUGAAUAUUAUUGAAGUCUGAAUGUGUAUGAAUGCAUGUGUUAGAAUAAUAUGCUUAUUUUUAUUUUUUGAAUAUAAGUGGUAAUUUGGUUGUUUUAUAAACUCAAAAUAUCUUAAAUCUAAUAUUUUUAUACUUAGGACCUUGAAAGUGUUAUAUAUAUAUUUGAAGUUUAAAUAAGUAUAUACUUGUAGUGUUUUCUCGUACAAUUGUUUUUAUAUGUUAUAGAUAUUUAUAAAGUAAGCAUCUGAUAUAUAAUUUAUGAGAAAUAAUUUUGAUAACAUUAUUUUUUUUUGUAAUUUAACAUAAUAUUUAUACAUUAAAAGUGGUUAUCUAAUAAUAAAAGAAUUUGUUUUAAAAUUCAAAUUGAAUGUAUGUUAAGUAUUUAAUACCAAGUAACAUUUGAAAUCAAGGGAAUUACAGUACAACAUCUAAGAGCUAAGUAGAAAAUAAAUAUAUUUAAUAACGGUAUUUGUAAGAAAAAAAUUAAUUUUUCAUUCAGAUAUUUUAUCAUCAAGAUAAAAGUUAAGAAACUUUACAUUUUCUAUUCAGAUACAAAAAUCUUACAAUAAGACUUCAAAUACAAAAACAAGUCAAAAUAUCUUAAAUUAAGCCAAAAUCAAGACCUUGGAUAUAAUAUUUUAUAUAUAUACUAGAAAAUAGAACCGCGCUUCAUGCGGUUUCGAAAAAAGAAUUUAGUAUAAUUCUUUUUUCUUACUUUACACUUGAUGAAAUUGAUAAAAAAAAAUUAAUUGAUUUUUUUAAGAUGAGGCAGCCUUAUAAAAAACAAAAAAAAAACUAUUAGCCAGCAAUACAAAUAAAGAAGCAACGCAAGAUAAAGAAUAAAAUGAGAGAAUAUAUUAUAGAGUGAUUUUAUUCAUUCCAAUUGUGUGUGUACAAAACAAAAAGAUGAGCUCUCCUUUUAUAGUUACAUAAUCACUCCAUGAAAUUAAUGAAAAAUUAUGGAUCAUAAUUUCUUGUGAGAUAGUAGGAGUUAUAUGGAAGCUAAAGGUUGCUAAUGAGAGAUAGUGGCGAGACUAAGGAUAUAUGUUAUGAACAUCUACAUUUAUUUUAAUAAAUUCAUAACACUCCCCCUUGGAUGUUCAUUACAAAGAAUAUGUCUCAUUAAAAUCUUUACAUAAUUGUUAUUGUGUAAUUAUAAUCAAAUUAAUUAUGAGAAGAUAAAAAGUCAAAUUUAAAAGAAAAUUUCUCUAUUUAUUAUAUAAUAGAGAAUAUACAAAGAUGAGAAAUGGUGAUGCCACAUCACAUUCUCAAGUCUCAGCUUUAUAUAUAUACUAGAAAAUAGAACCGCGCUUCAUGCAGCUUUGAAAAAAGAAUUUAGUAUUAUCUUUUUUUCUUACUUUACACUUGAUGAAACUGAUUAAAAAUAUGAAUUAAUUUUUUUAAGAUGAGGCAGCCUUAUAAAAAACAAAAAAAAACUAUUAGCCAGUAAUACAAAUAAAAAAGCAACACAAGAUAAAGAAUAAAAUGAGAGAAUAUAUUAUAGAGUGAUUUUAUUCAUUCCAAUUGUGUGUGUACAAAACAAAAAGAUGANNNNNNNNNNNNNNNNNNNNNNNNNNNNNNNNNNNNNNNNNNNNNNNNNNNNNNNNNNNNNNNNNNNNNNNNNNNNNNNNNNNNNNNNNNNNNNNNNNNNNNNNNNNNNNNNNNNNNNNNNNNNNNNNNNNNNNNNNNNNNNNNNNNNNNNNNNNNNNNNNNNNNNNNNNNNNNNNNNNNNNNNNNNNNNNNNNNNNNNNNNNNNNNNNNNNNNNNNNNNNNNNNNNNNNNNNNNNNNNNNNNNNNNNNNNNNNNNNNNNNNNNNNNNNNNNNNNNNNNNNNNNNNNNNNNNNNNNNNNNNNNNNNNNNNNNNNNNNNNNNNNNNNNNNNNNNNNNNNNNNNNNNNNNNNNNNNNNNNNNNNNNNNNNNNNNNNNNNNNNNNNNNNNNNNNNNNNNNNNNNNNNNNNNNNNNNNNNNNNNNNNNNNNNNNNNNNNNNNNNNNNNNNNNNNNNNNNNNNNNNNNNNNNNNNNNNNNNNNNNNNNNNNNNNNNNNNNNNNNNNNNNNNNNNNNNNNNNNNNNNNNNNNNNNNNNNNNNNNNNNNNNNNNNNNNNNNNNNNNNNNNNNNNNNNNNNNNNNNNNNNNNNNNNNNNNNNNNNNNNNNNNNNNNNNNNNNNNNNNNNNNNNNNNNNNNNNNNNNNNNNNNNNNNNNNNNNNNNNNNNNNNNNNNNNNNNNNNNNNNNNNNNNNNNNNNNNNNNNNNNNNNNNNNNNNNNNNNNNNNNNNNNNNNNNNNNNNNNNNNNNNNNNNNNNNNNNNNNNNNNNNNNNNNNNNNNNNNNNNNNNNNNNNNNNNNNNNNNNNNNNNNNNNNNNNNNNNNNNNNNNNNNNNNNNNNNNNNNNNNNNNNNNNNNNNNNNNNNNNNNNNNNNNNNNNNNNNNNNNNNNNNNNNNNNNNNNNNNNNNNNNNNNNNNNNNNNNNNNNNNNNNNNNNNNNNNNNNNNNNNNNNNNNNNNNNNNNNNNNNNNNNNNNNNNNNNNNNNNNNNNNNNNNNNNNNNNNNNNNNNNNNNNNNNNNNNNNNNNNNNNNNNNNNNNNNNNNNNNNNNNNNNNNNNNNNNNNNNNNNNNNNNNNNNNNNNNNNNNNNNNNNNNNNNNNNNNNNNNNNNNNNNNNNNNNNNNNNNNNNNNNNNNNNNNNNNNNNNNNNNNNNNNNNNNNNNNNNNNNNNNNNNNNNNNNNNNNNNNNNNNNNNNNNNNNNNNNNNNNNNNNNNNNNNNNNNNNNNNNNNNNNNNNNNNNNNNNNNNNNNNNNNNNNNNNNNNNNNNNNNNNNNNNNNNNNNNNNNNNNNNNNNNNNNNNNNNNNNNNNNNNNNNNNNNNNNNNNNNNNNNNNNNNNNNNNNNNNNNNNNNNNNNNNNNNNNNNNNNNNNNNNNNNNNNNNNNNNNNNNNNNNNNNNNNNNNNNNNNNNNNNNNNNNNNNNNNNNNNNNNNNNNNNNNNNNNNNNNNNNNNNNNNNNNNNNNNNNNNNNNNNNNNNNNNNNNNNNNNNNNNNNNNNNNNNNNNNNNNNNNNNNNNNNNNNNNNNNNNNNNNNNNNNNNNNNNNNNNNNNNNNNNNNNNNNNNNNNNNNNNNNNNNNNNNNNNNNNNNNNNNNNNNNNNNNNNNNNNNNNNNNNNNNNNNNNNNNNNNNNNNNNNNNNNNNNNNNNNNNNNNNNNNNNNNNNNNNNNNNNNNNNNNNNNNNNNNNNNNNNNNNNNNNNNNNNNNNNNNNNNGGGAGUUAUAGGGAAGCUAAAUGUUGCUAAUGGGAGAUAGUGGGGAGACUAAGAGAUAUAUAUUAUGAACAUCUACAUUUAUUUUAAUAAAUUCAUAACACUCCCCCUUGGAUGUUCAUUACAAAGAAUAUGCCUCAUUAAAAUCUUUACAUAAUUGUUAUUGUGUAAUAACAAUCAAAUUAAUUAUGAGAAGAUGAAAAGGCAAAUUUAAAAGAAAAUUUAUCUAUUUAUUAGAUAAUAGAGAAUAUACAAAGAUGAGAAAUGGUGACGCCACAUCACCUCCUCAAGUCCAAGCUUUAUAUAUAUAUAUAUAUAUAUAUAUAUAUAAGAAAAUUCAAAAAAAAAUGCAAAGGAGAGUGAAAUCUUAGUGUUUAAUUCUUUGAAUGUGAAAAUAAAGAGAGAAUAUUAAUCAUAAUGUAGAGAGAGAAAGAGAAAAGUGAAGGGUAAUUUUAAAUUUUAAAUUUAAAUUUUUAAUGAUGAAAUUAUUUUUUAAAUGUUUCUAAAGAAUAAUUCAGUGGAUUCAAAUAACCCCACUUUUUUGUUGCAUUUAUCAGUAAUUUAUAUGAUUUUAUUUUAUUUUUAAAAAAGUGGUUUUCCUCUAAAGACAAUGUUACCCCUUACUUAAAAGUUGAUGUUAUUUACUUUUUUACCAUAAAUAUAGAGCUAAGUUUCAAACUACAGAAGGUUGAUUCAUCAAUUCAAAAUUGCACCAACAUUAUUAAUAGAUUAAAAAUCCUCUUCCAAUAAGGGAUUCCUAACCCAUUGUUCAUGUUAAUGAAGAAAUUCAUUACUAACAAUUUAAAAUUUAAAAAUCUCAAAAUUAUCCUUCAUUAAUCUCUUUUCUUUUCUACUCAUGAUUUCAUAGUCUCUCUCAACUCUUACAUUUUCUAAACUAAACUCUCAAUUUCACCCUCCUUAGGAAUUUCUUCAUUUUGAUAACAUUGAAAAUUAUCAUAGUUCAAUUUUCAAUACAAAAAUAAAAAAGAAACAAUGACACUGAACAAGAUUAUCAUAACACUAAUGGUUCUGGAUCACAAUAAAUGAAAUUUGAAGGGAUAUUAUUUUAACAAGUUUAAUGUGAAUGUAUACAUAUUACUCGUUAUUUAAUUUGGAUGUAUGUAUUAUUAUAAAUUUUUAUCAUAUUUUAUGUAACAAACUAAAGUUCACUAGAUUUCAUUUAAUGAAAUUUUUUUGUUUCAUAUAAUUUUACUUGUUUUAAAAAGAAAAAAAAGACUUGUUUAAAUAAUUGUAUCAAACUUGCUCUAAAAAAUAAAAGACAAUUUAAACUUAUAUCUAUUUUGGUCCUUAAAUAAUAAAACUUCACUCUUACAAUAAGAUUUCCCAAAAGCAUAUACAUUACUUUUUAUACUCACAACAAUCGUAACAUUAUAAUUUACUAAACACCAAGCAACUUUUUAAUCAAUUGCUUAUUUCAUUAUCACUGUAAUCUCAAACUAACCCUUAAUUUUAAUUUUGCAAACUUUUUAAAGAUAUUGUAUUAUCCGUUUAUAAAUGUUAUUGUAUAGUUAAGACCCGUAUAUUUUAAAAAUCAAUCACUUAUCACGCACAACAAUUUUGUUCCCAAAAGAACUCUAAUAAUGAAGGAAUCCUGUCCAAGUGGGCUAAUCCGAGUUUUGUGCUCUUUUCAAAAUCCAGAGUUGUUUAAGGGCAGUUUGGGGUCUGCAUGUUUAAGUGCUUUUUUUAAUAAUGCAAUUUGGAAGGUUGUGCGGUGGCAGAAAGUUUUGAGACAUGAAAGAAAACGUAACACAACAUAACCCAAUGACCUGUACCUUUUCGGUUAAGAGGAUAGGUACAGUAGAGAGAGGACCAAACAGGUCAAGGUAUCAUAUUUUGGGAGACCCACAAUAUGCCAUAAACAGAAUAGGCAAAUAUUAAGAUUAAAAUUUGCAAGGUUGAAUACAGCGAAGCACUAGCAAUAAUAAUUAUAAUAUUGUAAAAUAUUGAGGGUGAGAGAGAGAGAGAGAGAGAGCAAAAAGAAAAGGAGUUGGUAUUUCUUUGGGUCUUUGAUAUUUCAUUGGACAACCUUGUCUUCGAUUGUCGUGUGUGUGCCCACUAGCAGCUUUUGUGUCUUCUCCUUUUCCAAUUCCAAUUCCCCACCCCUACCCUUCCCUAGUCCUAGCAAGCCCUUCUCCUUCUUCUUCCUAAUAAAUAUAUUUUUAAUCAUCUCUUUUCCAUUUAUUAAUAUGUAUUUAUUAUUUUCUCGACGGUUUUCUUUUCUUUUUCUUUUUCUUUCCCACCACCCUCAACAGUAAUGAUUUUCUCGUUACGGGUAUCGUUGUUGUGGAAUCUGAGGAGUUUUGGCUGUGAAAAAGUGACAGUUAUCCCAUUACAAAAACAAGAUCACCAAAAAAACAAACACAAGUGCACGGGCGUUGCGUUUAGAAACCAAAAAAAAAAAAAAAGGUUCUUUUUGAUUGAUUGAUUGAUGUGAUCAUCAAACAAACAAAACAAAACGGUUCUUUUAGCCAAUUUUCCUGUCCUAUAUUUUUAUCUCUAUAUUUAGGCUUCUGUCUUCUGGGGAGCUAUUGUUUUUGUUCUGGUUAUUUUUCCCUUUCUUUUGUCAUUCUUAGUUUUUUCUUGUUUCUUUUUUUCUCUUGUUGGGGUUGUUUUUUUUUUUUUUUUGGUUAUUUGUUUGUAUAUUAAUAAUUAUUAACUGAAAACCAUGUCUCAACAAAGGCCAUUACAGAUGGUGGGUGGUAACCAUCCUGGAGAUUACAAUGACACAACUUUCACAAAAAUUUUUGUCGGAGGGUUGGCUUGGGAGACUCAGAGAGAUACCAUGAGACGUUAUUUUGAGCAAUUUGGUGAGAUCCUUGAGGCUGUUGUUAUCACGGACAAGAACACAGGGAGAUCCAAGGGUUAUGGCUUUGUAAGGUCCCUUUACUUUGGCAACAAAUUUUUUGUUUCUUUCAUUUUUUUUUUAAGUUGAGUUAAUGCCGGUCUGUUUUGGUUUCUAAUAACUAGGUCACGUUCAAGGAUCCUGAAGCAGCCAUGCGAGCAUGUCAAAACCCAUCUCCGGUGAUUGAUGGAAGAAGAGCUAACUGCAAUCUUGCAUCUCUUGGUGCACACAAGACUCGUCCGCCAACUCCUCAACAUGGUUCUUAAUUAUCUCUCUUCGCAUUUCUAUUUCCAUUUCUGCUUCUUAAUGGCACUUGCUUAUGAAAUAUACAUCCAACAAUAUCCAGCCUUUCUAUGCAAAAGCUAACAAUCCCUCGACCAUUCACCAAAAGUCCAAAAUCAUGCGCGCAUUGUCAAAUAUUUGAUUUUUACGCCUCUAAAAUAAGUUUUUCUCUUCUUUUCCUACAUUAUUCAUGAGUUGGUCUAUAAUCAAUGUUUCAAGCGAUUAAAAGCUCAUUUUAGUUUAUUUUUAUAUUUAUGUAUAUGCUAAUUAAAAAUGCAAUGUGGAUCUCAAACUAGUGAAUAUGGGGUAAAACAUAAUUUAUUAAUGGACGAAAGAUUAAUUUUCAGGUGGAGGACGGUUUAGACCAGCACCAGGAUUGGUGGCUCCGCCUGCUUAUCAUGGUGGCUUCUCAUCAUCUUAUGUCCAUCAACCCACCGGCCAAUACACAUUUCCUUAUUCAGCUUAUGGGUAAGCACAAACAUCAUAUGAAAAAAAAAUAAUAAUAUUAAAUGCUCCCUCAUUAUUUUUGUUAUUUUCCCUCUGUUCCUCUUUUCGCCCUUGUAAGUUUCAGGAUUUUAUCUUAUAGGUACACUGGAUAUUCCCAAGACACAAUGUAUGCUUUGGUUAGUAUAUCUCCAACCUCCCUGAGCAAUUAGGCUACUAGUGAAUGUUCAGGUUUCAUUCAUUUGCUUGAGCUAAUUAAGUUUAUUUGCAUUGUACUGCAGAACUAUUACAAUAUUUAUGGAGGUCAACAAUUCUCACCUUACUAUGGAACUGGGUCAUCAGGGUCACCUGGAAUGUUUCACAAUUUCUAUCCAUUUUAUGCUCAAUAUGCACAGAGCAGUCAAGCUCAAGGGUUUGGGGUUCAUUAUCCCCAAAUGCUACAAUAUGGCCCUUUCUUGCCUCACCAUUAUGGCACUGCCGGAAUCUUGUCACUUCCAACUUCUAUGCCCGCCACAACUUCUUCAACAGGUCAUACUUCAAUAAUUUCUACACAUUUAUAAAAUUAGAAAAUUCGUAUAUGUGUUAUGUAUCUCCAAAUCCAAUUUAUUUAUUAAAGCAGGUGUAACGACGACAACAAUAGGGGUGACUGGAACGGGAACUAGUGCUCUGCAAGCCUCGGCAACGGCUUCCGAACAAAAUUCAUCAACAUAGUUGACUUCAAGAAGUAUAACGUCUUCCUUACAACAUUAACAAGAUCCAGAAAAUGGCGAAAAGGGUCGAGCAAAAGGGACAAAAAAACGAAUAAGAAGAAUCAUUUUACAGUCAUCAAUGAUUCAGGGAAAAAAAAAGAUUCCUCAUUAGAUAGCAUAACAAGAGAAGGAAUCCAAGAAUUCAGCAUCAAAAUUAUCAUUUCAAGGAACGAGCAGCAUUUGAGAGAUAAAGCUCGGUCUACUAACUUUCUUCAAUUCAUUCAUGCUCAAAAUUAUUUUUCUUUAUCAACAUCGUUGUCAUACUCAUCAUACAUGCUUGCUUUAAUUAAGGACAUAAGGGAGUCUUAAGUAGUUGUUAGAAUUAGAGAACCGUGGGGAAAAAAUCAAAUUCAUUUGUGUAUUUGUGUUAUAAGGUAGAAGCUAAAUAUUGGCUUUGGAUUCUACCUAGGAUCCUAAUUGACAGUCGAUUAUGCCUCGAAUUCAUACAGCAUCCGAAGACAUAACUCUUUGUCUAUAUUUGGAAGUAAAUUGGUUCAAAAGAUUGAUUUUGUAUCUUUGAACCAAGACUGAUUGGUCAGGAAAAGGCGAGCCUGGAUGGCUUGACCCAUUAACUUGUAAUCUCUUUCUUCAUUUUUCAUGAUUGAUACUUUUUUAAGAUAGGAUUAGUUGGAAAAACGGAAGAUGUAUGGAUGUCUUUUUUCGCGGAUAAUCAUCUCCUUUACCUUUCAUCUUUCGCUUUCAGUCGGCAUUUCUUUUAUUUUUACAAAUCUUUCUUUGUGCAUGAGUGCGUGUGUAUGGAAUCCAAGGGGAUCUCAGAAAUGAGGUCAACGCUAUGCUGUUAUCUUUUCCUGCGUCAAAGUUUAGCAUGCCGGAGGCAUCAUGCACUUCAAAAUUAAUUAUCGGAAAAUUCCGGCCAUCUCAAGUUGUGAAAAUUUAAUUUCUUCUGGAGUUGGAUUAUUAGCACUCCGCCCCUCUUUUGAAAAAGAAAAAAAAAAAAGUUCCUGUUUAACUGUCCUGAAGGUUCCUGUUUAACUGUCCUGAAGAAUUCAAAAAAAAGUUCCUGUUUAACUGUCCUGAAGAAUUCAUUAUUUAUAAGGACACUUACAUUCUUUCAAAAGUACCCCUUCAAUCACCAGCCAAAGAAGGGCAUGCUAACUGAAACCUCAACGAUGGCUCCAAUCCCAGUACCGUGUGAAUGUAGAGUUCCUUUACUUUUACACCGAUAUAUUUCUCAACUUUUCAUUUUAAAUUAGCUUCACUGUCCAUUUUCUUCCUCAUACUCAUAUGGCCAUUGGGGUUAAAAUCCUCUUUUGAUCUGAGUUUUUUUUUUUAUAAAUCUUGUGUUAUUUAUAUUUUUAUUUUAGUGUAUGAUUAAGAUUUAAUUAUUUUUUUUAAUUUAUUAAUUAUCAAUCACAUUAAUAAAAUUUAUUAUUAAUGAAAAUAUCAAAUCAAGAGAAGAUGCUGAUCUACGGCAAUGACCGCCUUGCACGGGUUUAGAAAUUCUUCUUGAAAGUGACGGCCUAUUUGAUUUAAUCAGUGCUGCCAAAGAUGACACUCUGUCAAUCGGGUAUUUGGCUGGAGGUUGCGCUUCCAUUAAAUUGCAAUAUUUUUCAGAAAGGAAAAAAAAAAAAAAAGAGAGAAAGAAAAAUGUGAAGCUAUUUUUUGACCGGAAAGAGAUUGAAUUAGGAGUAAUUUUGAAAGAAUACAAGUGCCCUUAUAAAAAAAAAGAACUUUGACAUUUUCUUGAAUAAGAGUUCACUGAAAUUUUGAAAAAAAUAUCAUGAUACGGGAUCAACGUCAAUGAUGUAUGAUUACGGUUCGUUCACAUAUGUUUCAAUUAAAAAUCAACCACAAUUUCAAUAUUACCAUAUCCAAGACGAUCAAAUCUGUACAAGAACACAACGCGUUCACAAGUAGCUUCAAAUUUCAUCUAUCAACUAACAUGUCAGUACGGUUAAAUUACUAAUAUCUGAAGCUAGAAUCGAAAUUAACAUAUUCACUUCAAAGCAAAAUUUAGCCACAGAAAAUGAGUAAUCCUUUUUUACCUCAAUAAAAUUGUUUCAAAUAAUGUGCCGGGGCCCGGGGGCGGCCAAGACCAAGUUGUACCUCAUGUGCGGGUCGGGUGGAUCAAAUAGUUGACGUGAGACCUGAAAAGCCCACGUGUUGAAAUUUGUAAAUGCCUGGUAGCCCGUGGCCCAAAGCCCAAGCCCUUAUUGUUCGCGGUGAAGAGUUGACGAAGGCAAUAUUAGCCGUUCGUUCAAAUUUCCACAAGCACCUGGACUACGACGAGUACGAUGCUGUCUGACAAUUUGUGGCGAAUAACGCAUUCAGCUACUUCAACAAGCUUAUACUGCUCAGAAUCUAAGAAAAUAUGACAUCUGAGUCUGUUUGGUUGCUGCCUAUGACGUAGUUUGUUGAAUGAAUAUGGGAGGCACCAUAUGUUCGAUGGAAUUUCUCAGUGGGACAUGGAAAUGCAAAUGGAAUUGAGAGCAUCAGCUUGUACAGCGUAAGAUAUUUAACUUGCAAUUAUGCAACAUGAGUGUAAGAUGGCCAAGGCUUCUAACACCUACUUACCUCUCUCAAAUCAUAAAGAAGCAGAAAAGCCCAUUAACAGCUCUUAAGAUUUUCAAGGAAGCCAAGGAGAAAUAUCCUAAUUAUCGACAUAAUGGUCCGGUGUAUGCCUCCAUGAUUGGCAUUCUUUCAGAAUCAAAUCGAAUUACUGAAAUGAAAGAGGUUAUUGAUCAGAUGAAAGGUGAUUCAUGUGAGUGUAAAGAUUCAGUUUUUGCCACUGCAAUCAGGACUUAUGCUAGAGCAGGACAGUUAAACGAGGCCGUUUCUCUGUUUAAAAACCUUUCGCAAUUCAAUUGUGUGAAUUGGACUCAAUCUUUUAAUACCCUUUUGAAGGAAAUGGUGAAAGAGUCUAAGCUUGAAGCUGCUCAUAUUCUUUUCUUGAGAAGUUGUUAUGGAUGGGAAGUGAAGUCACGGAUUCAGUCAUUGAAUUUGCUGAUGGAUGUCUUGUGUCAAUGUAGACGUUCUGAUCUUGCAUUGCAUGUUUUCCAAGAGAUGGAUUUUCAAGGUUGUUAUCCGGAUAGGGAAAGUUAUCAUAUCUUAAUGAAGGGUUUAUGUAAUGAUAGGAGACUAAAUGAGGCCACUCACUUGUUAUAUUCUAUGUUUUGGAGGAUCUCUCAAAAGGGUAGUGGUGAAGAUAUUGUGAUUUAUAGGACUCUGUUAUUUGCAUUAUGUGAUCAAGGGAAGAUUCAAGAUGCAAUGCAGAUUCUUGAAAAGAUUUUAAGGAAGGGACUUAAGGCUCCUAAAAGUCGUCGUCACCGCAUUGAUCUUUGUCCAUGCAAUGAUGGCGAAGAUAUAGAAGGUGCUAAGAGUUUGAUUAAUGAAGCCCUCAUCAGAGGCGGGAUUCCCAGUUUGGCUAGUUAUAGUGCAAUGGCUGUUGAUUUGUAUAAUGAAGGUAGAAUUGUUGAGGGUGAUAAAGUGCUUGAUGAAAUGCGGACAAAGGGCUUUUGGCCAUCACUUGUAAUGUAUGAGGCAAAGUUAGCAGCUUUGUUUAAGGAUGGUAUGGUUGAUGAAGCACUCGAAGUGAUUGAAGAGGAGAUGGUGAAAGGAACUUUUGUGCCAACAGUUAGGGUGUAUAAUAUAUUGUUGAAAGGCCUAUGCGAUGCAGGGAAUUCAGCAGUUGCUGUUAUGUAUUUGAAGAAGAUGUCUAAGCAGGUUGGAUGUGUUGCUAAUGGGGAAACUUAUGGCAUUUUAGUGGAUGGGCUGUGUAGAGAUGGUAGAUUUCUUGAAGCAAGUAGGGUUUUGGAGGAGAUGUUGAUCAGAUCAUAUUGGCCUUGUGUUGAAACUUACAAUGUUCUCAUAAGGGGUCUUUGCUCAAUAGGCAAGCAGUAUGAAGCUGUGAUGUGGUUGGAGGAGAUGAUCAGCCAGGCUAAGCUGCCAGAUAUUUCUGUGUGGAGUUCUUUGGUGGCAUCUGUAUGUUGUAACACGGCUGACUUGAAUGUUUGCCGUAAGACUUUGGAGCAGCUAAGCAGCUGUUCAUAGCUCAUACUGGGGCAAUUGUUAUUAUUGUAGACAAAAUUCUUCUAACUUGUACUGAUGGUGAGACAAUCAGUUGCUCUUCCAAGGUUAGCAAGACUUGAGGCUUUUCUCCGGCAAACUUAGAAGCAGCAAAUUUGAGCCAUCAGCAAACCGAGUGAUGUUUCUGUUGACCAAAUGUUGAUCUCUUGAUGGAGAACGCCAGUUAUUGGGAGGGCUAUAUCAUAUUAUCGGGAAUCUUGUUGUAGCUCUGGAGGUUAAUCCUCGGUCUGUUUGGUGACUUUUAUAGAAAUAAGGUAGUAACUUUAUGCUGAUUAACAACAUUUGGAUUUUAGAGCAACAUGUCAUUUGUGGCAUAAUACAGUACUUCUGUUAUGCUGUGAGCAUAGCGAUUAUAGUGCCUUUCCUGUCUGUGCAAUGAACCAUGCUAUUGUAGAUGUCGGGAAACGGUGUGCUCUAGAUUUGCUGUGAAUUUUCAUCUACCAAAUAUCUAAUUUCCUCGUGGAUAUGGAAGUGGACUGGUGCAAUGGGUUAGUAAUUGGCAUUGACAUUAACAGUCAUGACCACAACAGAAAAUAACUAGAUACUUACAUAAUAAAAAGAAAAUACAAAUUUUUUAUUUUUAAAAAGAUAAGGAGAUGGAAAAAAUCUAAAUUCAUUUUUGAAUUACUAGCCUUCACUCAGAAUAGGAACUCCCAAAUAAAAUUACUUGAAAAACAGUUUCUUUUGGAUGCGGACAAUAUUUGAUACCGCAAGACUCCGAAAAUUAUUGAAAAUACGUCAAUUAUAAUCUACGAAAGAAUAAAAAGAUUGCCCACAUGAAGAGAAAAUUACAGGUGUGAGAGUAAAAGGUAAAAACGACCGUAAACAGGUCCUAAUUGGGAAAUGGGCCUGCAACUCUAAGCCCAACACUUGUCCAAUUUCACACGCCCUUUAAAACCCCUAACUGGCCGCAAUCGAAAACCCUAGCGAUACUUUGCAGCGGCGCAGCAGAGUGCACGGCGCAAUCCGCAGUAGGUCUGAUCUCUUGAGGUAUCAAGCUCUUCCUGCCUUUGCUUUGUCUCCCGUUUUAUUUCAGCGUUUUCAUUUCUAUGCGAAAGAAAAUUUAUCGUACUUUUAGAGUUAGUUUCAUUUUGAAAAGAAAAUAUUUUGCAAUUUUUUUCUUUUUUAUUUCUUCAUCGGUCUCAUUAAGUUGUCUGUAGUUGUAUAUGUUGAUUGCUAGUAAGUAUUUUCAUUUGAAUUGAUGCUUCUUAUUGUGUUGUAUUGUAGUCAAAGCAAUGUCGGCUUCGGAGCUUGCUUGUACUUAUGCCUGUUUGAUCCUCCACGAUGACGGCAUCGCCAUUACUGUAUCCUUGUCAUGAAAUUAAUAUGCUUAAUUGUAUUUUUUUUUUAAUUUGUCAACUUCAGGUUAUGUACAUGUCAAGGCGCAUGUAUUUUUUAAGUUUAUUUGGGUUUAUUUGCUCAUUUAGUGUGGUAGUCUUCUACACUCAAACUGGAGAAAUAGUGAAGAAGGAUGAAAGCUUAGAAAUUAUUGGAGCAAAACCAAAAGCAGUCUGGCCAAUUUCAUUGCUAUGAUAUUUUUAUAUCUUCUGUUAAAAGUUUAAAAUAGCACACCUGCUUCUGGAAAAUGGGUCUCUGGGUGUUUCCUUUGACUGUUGUUAAUAGACGGAUAAGAUUGCACAACUGGUGAAGGCUGCCAACGUGUCUAUUGAAUCUUACUGGCCUAGUUUGUUUGCUAAGCUCUUAGAGAAGCGGAACUUAGAUGAUCUUAUAAUGAAUGUGGGGUCUGGUGGUGGCGGUGGUGCAGUUGCUGUUGCAGCUCCUGCUGGAGGUGCUGGGGCUGAUGCUGCUGCUCCCCCACCGGAGGAGAAGAAGGUAAUUGAAAGGCCUUAGAAAUUAUUAGUUAAAAGAAAUCAUUAGCCUUUUUGAAUUUUAUGGUUUUUAUCUGAUACUUCUGUGCUUUUUGGGGUAAUUUUUUUGCAGGAAGAACCCAAGGAAGAAAGUGACGAAGAUAUGGGCUUCAGCUUGUUUGAUUAGGAGCUCCUUUCAGAAUGAUUUGGUCUGGUGCUGGUUUACAACUCUUAAGAUUAAUUGUCUUUUUGACCUAUUAGUAGUAUCUAUCUUUGUUUGUUAAGAUUUGAAGUAUAGGUAACCUUGAGUGAACAGAAAGUGUUAAGUAGUUGCUUUGGUUCUGCAUUGUGUGUUCGAGAUUCUGGAUGUAUACAAGUAUUGUGGAUCAAUUUUUAUUUUCUUUGUCAUUGAUUGCCAAUUUAAUUAGUUUUUAUGCACAGGAUUGAUUGAUUGUUUGUCCUGGUUAGAAUGCCAGGAUAUCGAUGUGCUUACUAUUACUCUUAGAUGGGACAUUCUUUUUAGUGUAUGCUCGUGUUCAUACAACCUCACCAUACUGGUAUUAACUGUUUGGGCCAUUGUCAUGGGGAAAACAGGUUUAUUAUUGGUAUUUUUUAAGUUGAAGUUAUUGGCUUUCAAACGUUCGACAUAUUACCAUGCGGGUUUUUUUUUUCUUCUGGGUGAAGUCUCAGCAGAAAGCCAGAAAGUGUUUUUUUUCUUCUGGGUGAAAUCUCAGCAGAAAGCCAGAAAGUGUUUUUAGCGUCAUGCUUCCUGAUGAAUUAGAGUCUCUGGAUGAAAUAAGGCUCUAUUUUUGGUAUUUGCAUUUUAAUUUGAGGCAUACCGUCAAAGUAGUUGUAUGUUGUAAGUUCAGAGGUAAUUUCGGAUUUAUGACAAUUUUUUAAAUAUUCUUUAAUAAUAAAGAUUGUUCAAAUUAUGGUAAGUCUCAAUUUUACCGUUCAGGAAAUAAAAAAUUUUAAGGGUAAAUUGAGGUUUAAAAUAACUUAAGAGGCUAUUUUGAAAAUUAUGAUUAUCAUUUUAUGAGAGAUAAGCUAAAAUUGGGUGAAUUUAUUUGAAUUCAUUAAACUACUCAACACAUCAUAUUUUUUAUUACACCUAUCAUUGAAUUUUAAUUUUGCAAAAUCAAGAUUUUACUUUAUACACUUUUGAAAAUUUUGACAUAACUUCUAUUUUCUCCUUUUUCUUUCCCACGCUCAGAAUUAUAAUGAUUGAUGGCAAAUUGUCACUAAGAAACCACUUCCCUCAAAUUAAAGUUUAAAGAAUAAGCCCAUAAACAUUUCUUAUUUCAUUCAAAAUUUGAUUUGCUUCGGCAUGUGAAAAUGAAUUCUUCCCAGUAAUCUAUGGCUCAAAAAAACCAGUCCACAGACAAAAGAUAUUUCUUCUUCAUCUGUAGAUUCAAUAUCCAAAACGUAAAAAGUGAUGAAAUAUAGACAAAAAGGCGAAUUAAUCAUGGAUUGAAUUUGCAAAUUAAUAGAGUACGAAUUGAAUAUGAUAAUUAAGUUUCUCAUUGAGUGAGUGUAUAGAGCAAUGUUAUUUUUUAAUUUUUUUGUCCUCUUAAUUAGUGUUAUUUAAGGAUAUUUAAAUAAUAAAAAAUUAAAUUAAAACAUGGGUUUAGAGAGUAUUUUGGUGGGUUGGAAUUUUUAUGAGAGGUAAUAGGAAAUUAAACUCUAAAGUCAAAAUGUAAAUUUACCCGAUAAAAUUUUAAAUUUUUAUUACUUUUGUUAAAAUUUUAAGGGUGGUGAUAUUUUCAUUUAUAAUUAUAGUAAGUUUACGUUAUUUUUAAAAACUAUAUAAAUAAAGGAGAAGUUUGGAAAUUUAAUCAAGUAAAAUUAAGUGCCUCAGGUAUAAGAGCUCAUAUUUUUUGGGCUAAUUUAGUCAUCGGAGGCUGUGGCAUUGGCGGUGGCGGUACUGUUGUUGUCGGAAUCAAUGUGCGGGGAGCUAUGCUCCAUAGCAAUUAGAUUUGGAUCGGACUGUGUGGAAUUGGCUUUUGAUUUUGAUUCAUUCGUGAUUGUAUUCUUGAGAAAGUGAUGGAAAUUAUUAUUAUUAUUAUUUAAAUUGGCUUUUUUAUUAUUGAGAUUUGAGAAGGGCUCGGGUUUGGGAGCUGAUUGAAGUCCCAAAUUGGACAAAAUAAUUACCUAUCAAUUCCAAGUAUUAAUUGCAAAAAUACGAAAUUGUAGGCUUCUUUGUACUGAAUUAUAUGCCGCCCAGGACAUAAUGGUAAUUGUGCAUUAAAUAUAUUUUUUUUACUUAAACAAAUGGAAUAUGUUAUAUUUCUUUUUACAAAUUCUUGUCUCUUUUUCUAAAUAGUGGGGGGUCUAACAAUUUCUUUUCCUUACAAAAAUAAGGGGAUGAAAAUAUCCCCACCUAAUUUAUAAUUAAAAAUCAAUGUCUUUCAAUUUUUUAUUUAUAGAACACCAAGGAAUAGUUAGGAGCUGUUUGGUGGCAUUUAAAAAUUCAUGGGAUUAGCACUGUUUUGUCAAAGUAAUUCUAAUCCCCUGUUUAGUGCUAAAGGUAAAUUUGGAAUAAAUUAUAACGGGUCUACCAUUAGGGGAACCUUUCGGAUUGCAUUUCUAAGGCUAAAAAAGUUAUCCUAAGUAUUCAUAGGAUAGUGAAUAAUUUAUUUUUUAAUCAAUAAAUUAUUUUAUUUAACAAAUAUUAAAAAUAUUGUAACGCAUAUUCAGAUUAAACUAUAAUAAUAUUUCUCAUAAUUUUUUUAUAAUAUUACUUUAAACUUAUAUAAACAUUAAAUAACAAUAUAAUUGUAAAUUUGCAUAUAUAAAUUUAUUAUUAAGUUAAUAUUUGAUAUACUUUGUCAAUUUAUCAAUUAAUUUAAUACAAAAUAUGGUGGGAUGACAGACGUGCCAAUGUACUCUUGACUGUUGAUGAUGUGAAAUAGUUUUAUAGAUAUAGACGGAUGACGUUAUUGUAUAAUAUAUUUUUGUAUUUAUGGAUUAAUUUUUUAUUAUAUUUGUUGAUGAUAUUAUUGCGUAAACUCUCAUUUAAAACUAUAAACUAGGAAAAAAAAUCAAGGGAAGGUUUUGUCAUUUUUUUUUCAAUGCUUAGAUUUACUGAUAAAUGGAAUUAAUUUAGAUUAUAUUUUAUAUUAUUUUUAUAAUUUUUUUAUUUUUUAGCCAUGUUCAACAUCUUAUGCAAAAUCUUAAUGCUUCAACUGCCUGUGCUUACCGUCCAAAACAAGCCGUAUGAAGUAUAGCCAAGUGGUAAGGCAUCAGUUUUCAGUGCCAGCAUGCAAAGGUUCUAAAAUAUAAAUUUAUGGGGAGCAAACUUAUUUUUUAGACUGUGGUGUAACAAUUAAUUUAAGAUAAUUUUGCUCAAAUUAAUAUAUAGAAUAUAUUAGUAACAUAAUUCUGAUUAAAUUAAUAUAUAGAUAAUUUUGAUUAAGUUAAUAUGCCAAAUAUAUCAGAUACUAUCCAAUCCGAUAAUAUACUAAAUAUAAUGCAUGAUUAUUUAUAGUCCAAAAUCUUAAAUUUCACCAAACACAAUAUAAUAUUAUAUCUAACCUUAUUUGACCGCAUCUUAUCUCAUUUUAUCUCACUCUAUCUUAUUUUAUUUUACGUGUCAAACAUGUCUAAAUAGAGAUGGCAUAAAUACCCGCCCAGUCCAGACCCGAACAGUACCCGGGCGUUGUGGGCCGGGUAUGAAGUCGGACCGGUAUUGGGCAUCACUUGAAAAACUCGGAGCUCGGCCCGGAACCUAGAUUUUAUUAAAACAAUAUUAUAAAAUAUAUAUUAUUUUAAAUAUUUACAUUUAUUUGACUCAUUUAUUGUACAUAUAUAAAGUUUUAAACACUUAAAGUUUAUAUUUUUAUGUCAAAUUUUAUUAAAAUAAAUUUAAAAUUUAUAAAAUUACUAAAAAAUAAAAAAUAUAUACACAUAUAAUAUUAAAAAAAAUAUAAAACCUAACCCGAACAUCUAAAAAUUACAUCUGGACCGGGUCCAAGUAUCACAAUGCCCGGACCUAGCCCGGGUUUUGCCAACCCUAUGCCUAAAUGUAUAUCUUUAGAGAUGUUACGUUCCAUUGUGUAAAGACCUGCAAGGUUGGCUUAAGACAUAACAAAAAAUUUAAAUAAAUAUUAUAAUAAAAAUUUAUUUUGAUUUAGGUGUAAAACUAAAAACUAAUGCUUACGUUUAAGGAUUAACCAAAAAAAGUGAACAAUUUUAUAAACAUAACUCUGAAAAAUGUGGAUCAGGAAUAAUUUAUUUUUCUCAAUUAUUUAUGAGAGUAUACUUUUAAGUUAGAGUUGGACUGAUUUCUAGACUAUAUUACAAGUUGUAUGGAUCUAAAUUCUAGUAGAUUUUAGAUUCUAAUAUGUUUGUAGAAUCCUCCGCGCAUACACGAGAGAAAAAGUGAAAAAAAAAAAAAAAAAACAUUGAUGUUAAGCGUUGAAUCUAUAAACUUGUUCAGUUGAACUUUUUCAUUUCAGGAGAGUGGCGACAGCCCUCAGAGCCCUUUUACAAAACUGUAAAACAGAACUUAAUAUUUCAUUAUACAAGGUAAACACUAAUGUCUCAACUCCAAACCAUUAUUGAAAAUAGCGCAUGCUGCAUAUACUGCCAACCUAUGUUAUUUCCUAAGUAAUAUCUUGGGUUGUGGAGAAUUACAGGAACAUGUUUGCGGUCCAAAAUAAAAGUGGAGAUUUUUGUAGCCUCGAUCAAGGAGUGGCCACAUUUUCCUUGGCAAGAGGAGCAAUUUCUUCGCCGUCAAUUCCAGGUUCACUACCAGCAACUUCCAGGUUAAGUAGGGUCUCCUCCCAUUUCUUAGCUGGUCCCUGUCCCAUUAAAAAACAUAUCAGCUCAGAUAUCUUUUGAACGAAUUGAAAAGACAGGUUUCAACUGAAGCCACUAAAUUAAAGAGUCUUCUUCUUGCACAGUUCCAAUACUCACUUUCCAUGAAAGAUCUUGAGCCAUGCCAUUUUUCAUCAUUUCAGCCAAAGCUUGAGUACCAUAGGUUGCAAGAGCUCUUCUGACGGUUGUGGACACUGCAGCCACAUCUACUGGAUCCACAGCCUCACACUGAAAGAAAUUGAUCAAUGAUAAAAACAGAAAUUACAGUUGAAUCAAGUGGUAUCCUUGGAAUUACUCUAGAAUUAUAGGAUGGAGAUGAGUAUAUUACGUCAACACUGAAGCUUCCCAUCUGGAAUCCUGUAAAGCCUUCUUCCACAGUGUCAACCAAACCACCAGUGGAAGCCACGAUAGGUACCUGCAAAGGGAUUACACUUGUGUAAAGCAAAUUUUUGGCCUUGAUUUCUAGCAUAUAGUAUUAGCAUGAGCCAGUAGGAGGAAGAGAAAAGAAAUUCCAGUAGAACAUCAUACGGUUCCAUAACGCAUGGCAUGUAAUUGAAUGAGACCACAAGGUUCAAAUCUGCUUGGAAUCAAAAUAAAAUCAGCUCCUGCUAUUAUCAUAUGCGCCAGAGGAAUAUUGAAUUUCGCUACUCCUCUGGCUUUCUCAGGGUACAGUAUCUCCAACUGUUCAAGCUGCUUCUCCAUUGGUUUUUUGCCAGUACCCUGAGAGAAUGUGACAGGAAAAAGGAAAAAAAAUAUCAUAAUAGAUACAGCUGUUCUCAUGUCAUAAUAAAAGUAUAUAGGGUAGAAUAAUUUCUAAUUGUAAUACUUACAAGGACUAUUAUCUGAACAUUCUCUUUGAUGAAAUGGGGAAUGGCAGCUGCAAGAAUAUCUGAGCCUUUCUGCUCUUCAAGUCUACCAAUGAAGCCUAUGACAGGAAUAUUUCUAUCGACAGGCAACCCAACUUCUGCUUGGAGGGCUUCCUUCAGAAGAGGCUUCGCAUCCAUCACCUGAGAAUACAAAUUUGUGUGACAUCUUGAUACAACAAGCCAAGAUUUUAGAAUGCUAGUUAUGAUAAGAGGUUCAUUCUCAUAAAGAAUCUUACAGUUGAAGCAUCAUAUUUGACACCUAUAUAUUUGUCAGUCAAGGGGUUCCACUCCUGGACAUCCAUCCCGUUCACAAUUCCCUUAAUGCCAGUUUUACGGAUGAUAUUAUCCAAUUCUACUCCUUUGUCUUCACCAGAAACAAGUUCUUGGGCAUAGUGUGGGCUCACAGUUAAGACCAUGUCUGAUUCUAAUAUUCCAGCUUUCAUCCAGUUGAUUUUUCUUCCUCUCACAGGUUUAUUGUAUCUGCAGGAUAGGAUUAGUUAGAGGAUAGUUUUGACCAUGAAGAACUCUAACACUAAUCCAAUGGAACCAUACCCAUCAAUAAAGUCAAAAGAGCUUUUGAAUUGAGCUGGAAGGUUGAGAAGUCCAAAAUCCUCAAAUGCAAAUCUUCCUUGGUAAGCAAUAUUGUGGAUACAAAAAACAACCUGAAAAGAAUAAUAAGCACAAUAAGGGUUCUCAAUUACCUAUGCACAGGCCAGGGGUUUUUUGAAAUACUUCUCAUAAGCACUUACUUUGGCACUUUUGUACAUCCCUUUGGGCUUAUACAUAGUUUUCAGGUAACAAGGGAUAAGGGAAGUAUGCCAGUCAUUAGCAACAAAAACGACAUCUUCACCUACAUACAAGGAGAUUAAAGUAGCAACUCAUAUUUAUUUACUCAUAUUUAUUUUGUUUAGUAGAACCCUCGGAUGUAAGAAUCACAUAACUCUUCUUACCAUAUGGUCCAGAGAAAUAUUUGUUGCUGUUAAGAUUCAGAAUUCUCGGUGCUUCAAGAGCUGCCUGUAAGAAUUAAAACUGUAAAAUUUGAGGACAAUAACCACAAUGGUUCAAGGAGUCUCAGACACUUCGUCUUUUAUAUUGAGACUUUUGGACCCCUUAGAUCUUUAUAAAAUUCUUUUGCAAAAUGUGCAAGAUUAGAGAGUGUUUACAACCACUGACCUGGCACAACAAGCUGAAGCGAAGUUGGUUGUCCUGGUAGUCCUCUCCAGUCCUAGGCCCAUAGAUUUUGGAUUGGGUUUUACCCCACACCUUGAAAGUUUAGUCACAACAAAUGCAACUUCAGAGACACCCUUCACAAUUCAAACAUAUCAAAACAUUUGACCAUAAGACAGUAAGAGAAAUGAUUCACAAAGACUACCUUCGCAAGAAACCAAGGAUGAUCCACAAACACCCGAUCAACUCCUCUCUUGUGGCAAUGAAAGAAGCGAACUUUUUCAAUUUUGUCUCCAACUUUCAGCUACAAUCAAAAUUUCAAUCACAAAUCUAUAUCUUUAGUCUUAUAUCAACAUGAAAUAAAGAAAAUAUUAAAGGACUAAAGAAAAAAAGGAAAAAAAAUCUAAAUAGAAUUGAUAUACCUCAAUUACAACAUCAGUAUCCCAAGCAUCUUUGUACUGGUCAUAUCGGGGUGCAAUCGUCAUGACACGGUGCCCAUUGGCCUGAAUAAAGGAAUCAAGUUUAGUCGAUGAUGCAUUCGACAUCCAACAUAUCCCAAUCAAUCUACGAUGAUUUAAUCAAUUUGAUCUGUCUGCCAAAAACAACGAUGAAGAGAAAAGAAAAAAGUAAGCUUACGGCCAGUGCUGGUGGCAGACCUCCAAGAACAUCACCAAGUCCCCCAGUUUUACUCCAAGGAGCAACCUCUGUUCCAACAAAGAGGAUAUUCAGGCCAACCCCACAAACAAUCAUUAAGGAUGGCCCGUUCUGGCUUCUAAAUCCAUUCCUCCCAGCUUGCCUGCUGGUGGCUAGUUUCGAUGCCAUUGUUUUCACUUGGAGAUCGUCUAUGAUAUUUAAACUUCUCAGCCCACUGUGCUUCAUACACCUAAAUUUCAUCUGUGAUGCCUUACUAUUCAAUCCUGAAGCUACCUCAUGUCCAUAACUCCUUGAGACGAAGCUUGAAGCGGCUACAGCGGUAGCCAUAGCUGAUAUUAUUAUGUUUGUAGUCUCUGGAAAGUGAAAAAUCAGCAGAAAAUUAAUCGAUCGAUACAAAAAAAUGUUACAACAGCACACUACGCACUACACUACUAGACGUAUUAAAAUUUCACCUGCUGAAGAUUUGUUUCCCUCUUAGUUUCCUGAUGAAAUCUGGUGCUCAGGCGUCUAUGAAUGAACGUGAAGUGAACAUCAGCUGACUUCGCUCUUUGCUCUUUUGUAGAGUUGUUGCCGUGCCGUGCCUUGCACAUGGGAAAUCACUUACUAGAGAUUCGUGGUUAAUACGAACCGCAGGAUUUUCUCGCGGUUUACAACUUCACUUCAAGUUGCGAGAGAUGUUAAGACAGUUGGAUGAAAGAAGGCAUAUACGAACAAAACAAGAGAGUCCAACUGGGAAGUGGGAAUAUACGGAUUCAUGAUUUUUUGUCCAUUAGUUUGGGUCCGACACUCGAGACGAGAGACCACCAACCACCGUCGAAUUCUAUUUGUUCAGUUGAAAAACAAAUAUCAAACGAAAAUACUCAUUCGAGUACUAAGCAUAUCGCCCAGCCAUCUUUGCUUUGUGUUCUCACGCGAGUUUUUCACGAGAUAAAUAACCGAAAACUUUUGGAUUUAAACUUUUUGGCUAAAAAGACUUUGCGUGAUAUCUCAUAUCUGAUAUGUUGGCUUGGUUGGGUCUUGGGAUAUAAAAAUAGAGAUGACAAUGGGACAGAUAUGAGUUGGAUCUAUUCUGUUUUAAAUUUAGAUUCAUAAUAAAAAUUAAGAUCUGUAUCUGCUCCAGAUCUCUCAUGAAUCUAUAUUUUUCACUUUAUAUUCAUAUCCAAAAAAGAAAUAAAUAUUUAUAUCUGUUUCAAAUCUAAAAAAAAAAUUAAAAUCUAAAUAUGCUCUAGAUCCGUCAUGAAUUCUAAAACUCAACAAUAAAAAAAUAAUAAUUUUUUAGAAUGAAAAUUGAAGGCCAAAAUGCAUUGAUAACAAAUAAAUUAUAUAAUUUUUCUCAAAAAUAUAAUAAAUAUUAUAACUUAUACUUUUACACCAAAACAACAAAUAAGAAAGAUAAUAAAAUAUUCUUCAAAAGUAAUUGCAGGUGUAAGAUCAAUCUAAUAUUUUAUUGUCUCCUUCAUCAUUCUAAUAUCUACGACACAUCCACCAUCAUUCCUACAACAUUCGAUAAUAACGUAUAAAUUAAAUGUGAUUUAUAUUCAAUGCUUUAUUAUUUUUAUUAUGACCAUAUUUGACUAAAUAUAUGAAUAACUAUAUUCCUUUAAAAUUAUUUGGCUAAUAUAGUAAAAUAAAUUGCUAGGUUAUAUUACUUGACUUGUAAUUUGAAUAUUGCAUGUACAUAUUUUGGGACUGGCUGACCUUUAAAUUUAUAAAACUAACAUUUAAGUAUUAAGAGUUUAAAUACAUGGUAAAUACCACUAAUAUGCUAUGAAUAAAAUUUAUUAUCAUUAUAAUUCCAUAAUUGUUAAGAAACUUUUAAAAUAAAAUAAAAUUAAAAGAUGGGUGGAUAUUGAUAUGAAUUUAAAUAUUAAGAUGGAUCUAAAUUUACUUUAAAUCCAUUUUAGAUCCGCACAUUAAUAUUUAAAUUUGAUCCAAAUUCAUUUUAAACUAACCUAAAUUUGAUCCGAUUAGAUUUAUAUAACGUGAAUCCUGAGUAAGAUCCAAUCCAUUGUUAUUCCUAUAUAAAAAGCAUGUAUUAUUUCGUGAGAUAAUGAGUGCUUUUCUCCUUUAAAAUUUUUGGGGUUUUUUUUAUUUGAAUUUUGACGGGGUAAAAUUGUAAAUACGGCAGAAACGAGUCCUCUGGCUACUGGUUAUCAUCAAUUCUAGCUACGAGCCUAGGAAUCUGGGAAGACUGUGAUUGAUUGAAUCUGUAACGACGCAUAAUCAAAUUUAAAAAAAUACAAUAAAAUAAAAUAAAUAAUACUACAAUCUUGUCAGUUCCAAAUCUCGCUUUCCUUUUCAGCGCAAGAAUUCAGGAGAAGAAGACAAAAAUGCAUGUUUUUUCAAUUUUCAUUGAAUGAGCAAUGGACGGAUGUAAAUGAAAUGAAAAAGUAAUGCUAUUGCACAUCCACCAUCAUUCCUACAACAUUCGAUAAUAACGUAUAAAUUAAAUGUGAUUUAUAUUCAAUGCUUUAUUAUUUUUAUUAUGACCAUAUUUGACUAAAUAUAUGAAUAACUAUAUUCCUUUAAAAUUAUUUGGCUAAUAUAGUAAAAUAAAUUGCUAGGUUAUAUUACUUGACUUGUAAUUUGAAUAUUGCAUGUACAUAUUUUGGGACUGGCUGACCUUUAAAUUUAUAAAACUAACAUUUAAGUAUUAAGAGUUUAAAUACAUGGUAAAUACCACUAAUAUGCUAUGAAUAAAAUUUAUUAUCAUUAUAAUUCCAUAAUUGUUAAGAAACUUUUAAAAUAAAAUAAAAUUAAAAGAUGGGUGGAUAUUGAUAUGAAUUUAAAUAUUAAGAUGGAUCUAAAUUUACUUUAAAUCCAUUUUAGAUCCGCACAUUAAUAUUUAAAUUUGAUCCAAAUUCAUUUUAAACUAACCUAAAUUUGAUCCGAUUAGAUUUAUAUAACGUGAAUCCUGAGUAAGAUCCAAUCCAUUGUUAUUCCUAUAUAAAAAGCAUGUAUUAUUUCGUGAGAUAAUGAGUGCUUUUCUCCUUUAAAAUUUUUGGGGUUUUUUUUAUUUGAAUUUUGACGGGGUAAAAUUGUAAAUACGGCAGAAACGAGUCCUCUGGCUACUGGUUAUCAUCAAUUCUAGCUACGAGCCUAGGAAUCUGGGAAGACUGUGAUUGAUUGAAUCUGUAACGACGCAUAAUCAAAUUUAAAAAAAUACAAUAAAAUAAAAUAAAUAAUACUACAAUCUUGUCAGUUCCAAAUCUCGCUUUCCUUUUCAGCGCAAGAAUUCAGGAGAAGAAGACAAAAAUGCAUGUUUUUUCAAUUUUCAUUGAAUGAGCAAUGGACGGAUGUAAAUGAAAUGAAAAAGUAAUGCUAUUGCUUAGACAUUUCAUAGUACUGCCAGUUGUCCACCAUUUUUUGAGAAUUGAUUGACUCAUGAUCAAAGUGAAAAUGUCCUUUUAUAUAUUUAUAUAUAGGUGGUGGUAUGCAUCAGUUGGAAUUUAAUAAUUAAAUAGAUAUUUUCUAUUUUAUGCACAGGGCUUGUCAUAAUUUUAUUAUUGAAUUUUACAACAAAAAAAUCUCUAUUGAUUAGGAAAUCCAUUACUCAUAAAUCAGUUUAAGAAGUCAUUCAUUAGUGAUGUAAGAUAUUACAUAUUUUUCCUUUGAGAAUUGGGUCUUCGUGAAGGUCAUUGGAAAUAUAAAAGAACAAAAUCGUAUAAUUAAUAUAUUUAUCCAUAUAUCAAGUCUCCAAUCUGGUCUUAUACUAAUUGUAACAGCUCAACUCCACAACCAAGUAGAUAUGAUCCACUUUCAAUCGGUUCUUAUUAUAAUUUUGUUAUUGGGCUUUACAACUUAAAAUGUUUCUACUUAAUUAGGAGAGUCCACGACUUACAAAAUAGUCUUAGAAUUCAUUCGUUAGCGACGUGAGAUAUUACAUGGUAAUUGUUUAUCGAUAUUAUUGGGUGUGGAUUGAAAUUUUUCCUAAUGAAAAACUAAAAUCUUAUAUUUUCAGAAUUAAAGUUUCGGUUGCUUUUAUAAUUGAAUUGAACUGAAGUAUGAUAGCAACGACCGGGAAUUUUGUACAAAAGAUGCUAAAAUCCGUGCUCAUACUCGUUUGGAGGAGAAUAUUCAAUACCUGUUGUGAUUUGUGAGCUUAAACGGGUACAAAUUGAGGAUUCUCAAUAAAAAUUAAAGAUACCCCUCAUCUCUCUUAUCUCUUAUGUCCGUUUUAUUUUUUAACAUAUGAUAUAUUUAAAAAGGAAAAGUAAUACUUUAACUAUUUAGUUAUAGAUAAACAUGCAACACUUUAUGGUAAAAUAUUUUUAAAAAAUAAUUUUAAGUUUAGGUAAAUAUUAGUUAUAAUUUAAUGAAUGUUCACUUUUAAUCAAUAUAUUACUAAAUAUUUGGAUGGAAAAUAGAAUCCCGGAAAAUUUCACUUUGUCAUUUUCUUGUCAAUACUUCAUUCUUUUCAGUUUGACCCUGAUUUGAACAUUAUUUAAUUAUCAUUUGUUUUUAAUUAGGAUAAUAUUUUAGAUGAUUUAGUAAAUGUCUAGUUCAUUAAGCGACUAAAGUCUCCAAGUAAAUGUCUUGGACAAUAUCAUAUUAGAUAUUGAUUCCUAUUGCCAAAUUGCUAAAUGCUAAUGUUUGUGUUUUAGGGCUUUAAAUUUUUACUUUAAUAUUUAUUUGAUUUAGCUAUUAAUUUAACUUUCAGAACAUUAAAAAGUAAAGAGUCAAUAGUCAAAACGGGUUUAAUGCGCGGGUCUGGAUAUUAGUGUUUUAUAUCGACUUGCUCAAUUAGUGGAUAUAAAAAGUUAUACUCGAUUUUUUUUAAUAAAACAUAAUAAAAUUAGACCUGGUACCCAACCCUAAUGUAACGGACCCCUUGCAGGUGCAGUACUCGCGGGGAAUUUUGCCGUUGCUAAUCCUAAGCCAUGUCCAACAAACCUCUAACUAAGAAAUAAUGGUGUUUGGCUUUACAAUUUAACCGAAUGAUUUGUAAUUUUUUUUUAUUAUCCAAAUUUGAAUUUUGAGAUAAUUAAGUUUAAAAAAAAACUCCAUUCACCUCCAUAUCUUAAAAAAAAAUAAAAUUCGAUGUUUAAAAUAUAAAAGAAUUUAACUAUUUCUUAAAGCAAAUUAACAACAAUAGAAUUCUAUAUUUUUUUAAAAUUUCAUAAGUCUCAACACAUAUAUUAAUAGUUGUAAAAUUCUAUUUAUGUAUAACGUUCGUUAUUGUAUCAAUCUUAAGAACAUUAAUGUAGGACGAUUGUAUAACGUUUUAGAGUUUUAUUGUUUUAGGUCUUUCAAUUAUUUUCAAUUUCAAUUAGUUUUUUAUUAGAUAUGAGGUUAGAUCUUUUAAAUAAGUAUUAGUUGGGGUUUAGUUUCCCUAUUUGAGUUAACAUGGGGAAAUAAGUUUACUCUAUUAUAUAUAAAGAGAUCUUCUCAAUGUUUCCAUAAACUAUUUUAAUUAAUAAGAAUCCCUUAUAUUGUGGAAUUUUUUUUUUAAACCUUUGACCUUAUGCUAUAGAGCAUUAUGGUAAAAAUCUCAUAUUAUUGAGUCAAUUGGGUUAGAAUGAUAUAUAGUCUCAUUUCUAUCAAAGCAUCAUCUAAUCGUAUUUGUCUUAAGGCCCGUAUAGAAUUACUUUAGAGAUGUUCAAAAGUGAUUUUGAAAAACUAAAAAUGAACUUUAGUAUUAGUUAAUUUAAAAAAAAUUUGGCAAAAUCAUUGUAUCUUACAACUGAUUUUAAAAAGUAGAGAAGGAGUAUGGGUAAGUUACAAAACAAAUAAACGAAUCGUAAAUAUAUUCAUUUAAUAUAUUUACUGUACAAAGUUAAACGAAUCAAAUAGAAUUUGGAUUUAUUUAUAGUUUGUUUAAUUUGUUUAUGCAACACUAAUAACAAAUCAAUCGAAUUUGGAUUUGUUUAAAAAAAUAGUAAUUUACAAACAAAAAUAAAUGCAAGAUGAAAUAGAAAACCCACAAAAUUGACAUCAUAUAAAAUACAAACGAAUAAACAAAUCCAAUUCAUCAAUUUUAAUUUGUUUAUUUAACAAAUUGAAUCAAAUUCAUCAAUUUAUUAAACAAAUCAAUUUUUUCAAACAAGAACUCAUUUAAUUGGAAUUGAAUCGAAUAGACAAAUCUUCAUCUAAAUUACCACCCAUAAGAAAGAAUGGCUUUUCAAAAUCUAAUUUUAAAAAUCAAUUUUAUACUUAAUAGAAUUCCAUAUAUAUCCUCACAUUUGUUAUAAUAAUUCAAAAUUAUCCAAAUUCAAUUCGAAAAUAAAAUUAUUAAGUUAAGAGAGAAUAUUAUUAUUACUAAUUAUAUUGAAAUAAUGAAAUAAAAAAAUAUUUUAAGUUUUCAGUUAUUAAUAUAUACAGUAAAAAAUUUACGUAUAUACAUGUUUAUAAAUAUGUGAAAAGUUUUUUAUUCAAUAUAAUGUCCAUUUUAGUCGUUUGUACUCUUAUGAUAAUUUAAUAAUAAUAUUUAAGAAAUACACGCGACUACUUUUAAAACUCACAUCACUUUUUUUUAAAAAAAAUUACUAAAAAUUUAAAUAAUUCUCUUCAUACUUGAUUAUUUAUUCAGCACAACUAACAAUAAUUAUUUACAAAUUAUAACGUUACAAAACUAACCUUAAGAUAUUCCUAUUAUAAUAUCUUUUCCUAUCAAUCGACUUCCGCUAUCCCACUAUAACCAAUGAUUCUUGUUAUGAAUAUAUUCCAUAAUAGACUUGAUUUCGUAUUGCAUAUGCAGCUGAUAAUAAACUCGAUUCUCGUUAGUUAUUACACAUGCACAUCCCAUAAUAACUUUAAUUCUUGUUACCGUGUCCGUCAUCACUCGUAAUCGCCUUAUGAUUUUCAUGAAAUGUCUUUCGGGCAGCAUAUGUAUUAUAAUUUUAGCUUGUAUUCAGCAGUUUCAUACUUUUAAAAAAAUGUUUUUGGGCAAGUCUAUAUAUGAACCUAUAAUUUUACUCAUUAAACCAUAAAUUCAUUAAAAAAAUUUAUUACAGCAUUCUCCCUGACCAAAAUUACUCUUAAGGACAAUAAUUAACUAUUCUGAACAAAACAACUUCAAGACAAAUACGAUGCAUGUCUAAUUCUCUAUAUACUGCUUUAAAGUCCAAACCCGUUGUCAUGAAAUUCAUUGUUUAAUUUAGGUGAAAUUACAGUUGUUUACUCUUCACGAUCCAAAACUCUUUUUUUUUUUUUUUAAUUACUAACUAGAAAACUCACCACUUCAAACAAUUGCUUUUAAAUCUAAUGUUACAUUGGAUAAGGACAAAAAUUAUGGUAUGAAACCUCGGCUGUAAUAUAGGCGAAUCCCUUCAAAGAUAGUUUGUUUUCUGAUUUUGUUGGAACUUUUUUUAAAAUACAAGAAUUUUUCUUUUGCUUUUCUUUUAUUUUUUCAAGUAAAAACAAGUUUAUCAAGUUUCGAUUAAAUAUGAACUAUUGGAAAUUCUUGAUCUUUUAUUUACAUGAAUUGUCGGUGAAGGCUUUUCCCAAACCAAGAACAUUGUAUAGAAAACUAACAAACUUUAUGAUUUUUUUUUUAAAUUUCUAUAUUUUUUAUAUUGAAACUUGAAUGAGUGAAUAAAAACAAUGGUAAAAAUAUUGUAAAUUUCAGGAAAAAAAAUUAUGAAUGCUGUAGAAAAAUAAAAGGUGAAGACAAUUGUGUCAUUAGGGUUGUAUUUGGAAUAUUCAGAGAUGUUGGGAGUAAAAAAAUUAGUUUUGAAUCUUUAUAAUGGAUUUAAAGAAUGUAGGAGUUUAAACAGUAGUUUUAUGGGUUUAGAUAACCCUCACUCAAUAUUUUAAUGUAUUAAUGGAUGAAUUUUAGGUUACUCUUAAUAAAUUGAUUAAUUUUUAAAUUAUUUCUUUAAAAAAUUUGAAAUUUAAAAAAUGAAGAAUAAUGUGAAAAUAAUUAAUUUACGAAAAAGGUGAACCGAAAUAAAUUAUUCGUUUAUAGACGGACUUUGGGUAUCACCAAUUCACGGUUCAAACCGCCUGUCUACGCCGGCUAGGCGGCUACAUUGGCUUGGUUAAGUGCGUCAUCUGCAGCUGAUUGAAUGAAAUCCAGCAGGUGAAAUCAAGACCAGAGCAAUCUCUUCGCCCAUCCUCUUAGAUUCAGAUUCAAGCAAGCAAAACAAACUCUCAUUUUAUGUAUAACUAUAUAAGCAAGCAAGCGAUCGAACGUAUGUUUCUGAACUAACGAAACAAUACUAGACCAAAGAUAACUUAUGAUAUGAAACAAAUAAAUAAUGACCAAAGAGCUCCAGGACACAAAGUCACUAAUGGAACUCGAUGUUGACUCGUUCCUUAACUCACAUCUCUCCUCCGAUUCUGAUGACGAGUUCAACUCAGUCCCCCAUCGUACCCUUGACGAAAUCCUCAACGACUCCGAGUCCUCUACGUCGCCUUCAUCGCCAACAUCGUCAAUUCACCACUCAGAUACCUCCCUUGCCAAACCACAGCCCCAAGGUGACGGCGUUUCAUCUCAAGAUAAACCCACUCCAAAACCUGGUUCAUUUCAUCGGGUCAAAAGUAACGAAUUAUCGGGCGAUCCCAUAUGGAGGGUUCCUCCGUCAUCUUCGAGACAAUUGCCGUCGCUGUUUGGUGGAGUGAGAUCGACUGCCAAGCCUGGGGCGGCACUCGCUGCUGCUGCUGCGGCGUCGAGGUCGGUCCCGACUCCCCAUGCGGCGGCGAUAAAGUCGCGGAGGGCGGGGAGUGGAACGCUUCUGAAAGUUCUCGACGGUGAUGAUCACGAGAUUGCUUCCGUUUCCUCGAAUGAAAUUAGCGUGUCGAGCGAGAAAUUGGAGGGAGAUGCGGAGCUAAUAGGUGAUUUUCAGUCUGCUCAAGUGAAUGUUAGUGGUGAAUUGUCGAGUUUGGCUAGUAGUAGAGAUGUAGAUACUAAAUUAGAAUCCGAGGUUAGUAAUGUUGAUGAUGAAUUUUUAAAUACUAGUUCUAAUUUGAAUACUGACCAACUAAUUGGUUGCUCUCCGCGAGUUGUUGUGAAGGAUCUGAAUUUGAGAGAAAAAUCUAUAAUUGCUAGUUCAGAUGACGCUAAUGAUAUUGAUGGAAAUAGAAUUGUUGCCCCUGUUACAGCUGAUGAUGAUUCCAUGUUCUUGGAAGUGAAUGCUUCUACCGAGAGUAGUGUUGUUCCUCUAAAUGAAUCUGACCGGACUGGACUAAUGGAGGAAAAUUUGGAAAUUCCUACAUUGGAGAUGGAGAGUUCGGACAAGAGUAUGUCCACCUCUCAAGAUGAUGAGGUUGGAGUAGAUGGUAGUAAUGAUGCCAGUUCGAUAGAUGACAUUUCAGAGCUUGUGGAGGAGAGAAUUGGGCAAUUGGAGAGUGAGAUUACUAGUAGAAGAGCUGAAAAAAAAGUGCAGCCCUCCUUGAAGCCUCUUGAAUUGGCUGAGGAACUUGAGAAAAAGCAGGCAUCAACUGGCUUGCAUUGGAAGGAGGGCGCGGCUGCCCAGCCCAUGAGGCUUGAGGGUGUUCGAAGAGGUUCAACUACAUUGGGAUAUUUUGAUGUUGAUGCUAAUAACACUAUUACACAGACUAUUGCAUCCCAGGCAUUUAGGCGUGAUCAUGGUUCCCCACAAGUCUUGGCGGUGCAUCCUAGUUUUAUAGCUGUUGGAAUGUCCAAAGGUGCCAUUGUUGUUGUGCCCGGUAAAUACUCUGCUCAUCAUCGUGACAGCAUGGAUUCAAAGGUUUGUUUUAGUUCACUUCCGCUGCUUUCUUGUUUGUGUUGAUGGUUCCUUUUGAAAUGAAAUGUCUGUUUGUGUUGAUGGAUUCAAAGAUUUUAAUCUAUUCCUCGCAAAUGAGAAAUUACGGUGAAGAAUCUUGAAUAUGAAUUUACAAAACUUUAUACAUACAACGUGCUUAAAGCCUUGUUGCCAUAGUGAGGAUUAAUCCCUGUGUAUCUGAUUCACAUCUAGCCAUUUACUAUUAAGCGAUGUUAUAAAAUGUAUGAUUAAAACGGGUAAGAAAACUUGUAAUAACCACUAAAAAAGAAUGCGAAUUUGGACUGGUAAAUUAGGUGGGAUCAAAAUGUUAUUUUUCUAUCGCCUUUAUUGAGAAUUUUUUCUAUUACCGGCUGAAACAUUUCUAAAAGAAUAAUUCUCUACUCUUGACGUGUAGAUAAAGCUGGACUAUUCUGUUUUACAUUAUUUGUAUUACAUAAACUAGAGUAGUAUUUGCAGAAGCAUGAAUAAAAAUAUAAUGAUUUCUUUAUUAUUUGAAAUCAGUAUCGGCAGCCAGUUCACCUGUAUGUUUGAAGAAUUAAGAUAGACUUCAUGGUGUUAUGAAAUUUUUAGUUUUUAAUUUUUCUUGGUUAUGCGCUAACUAUAGUGCUUAUUUGAAAGUCUACAAGCUGCCAUUCCAUGUCAAAGAGAAAAUAGCUACUAUCUGCUUAUGAAUUUGCUCGAUGCGUAAAUUGUUUGAUACUGCUGCAUGAAAACAUCAUACCGCAUCUUGAAGUGAAGCAACUUUGACCUGAUACACAUGGAAAAAUACUAGUGGUACUACAUACUGAAUCUAUGUAAUUUUUUUAAUUUUAAUUUUUAUGUAUGUUUUGGAAAAGAUUUAAGCUAAGAAUGAGAAUUUAGUGAUUAUUUUCCCUAUGUUGUUUUCAAACAUGCCUGUGUUGAUUACACAUCAAUGGGAGCACUGUUUCAAUCCUAGGCAUGCUCUUCAGGACUUUUGCCUAGCAUAGAGGCUGGUGGUCACCAAAAUCCAACUUAUUUUGGUUAAUAAUUUUUACAACUUUAACAUUGUAGAAUAAUCUCCCAAUUGUUACGAAUAUUUAAUUAUAUAGUAAACUUAAACAAUUAUAGAAGUUUCAGUUUGGAGAACCCAUAAUUGGCAUGUCAAGAUGUUCAGCAGUCCUAACCUGCUACAUACAUACAUAUAUAUAUAUUUCAGAUGAUGAUGCUUGGUUUGCUAGGGGAUCGAUCUCCUGCCCCAGUAACUGCCAUGUGCUUCAAUCAGCCAGGAGAUCUGCUCUUAGCUGGUUAUGCUGAUGGUCAUGUUACAGUUUGGGAUGUGCAGAGGGCAUCUGCAGCGAAAGUUAUUACUGGAGAGCACACCUCACCAGUUGUACAUACAUUAUUCCUAGGGCAGGAUUCUCAAGUUACUCGUCAGUUUAAAGCAGUUACUGGUGAUACUAAAGGUCUUGUUCAGUUACAUUCUUUAUCUGUGGUUCCCUUGCUGAAUAGGUUCUCUAUCAAGACACAGGUAAGACACUUGACUGUUUAGCCUUUAGAAAGGGAAAUUUUUAUUUAGCAUUAUAUAUUUGUCUUCAGUCACAGUUUGGACAAUGACAGUCAAUGGAUAUCCUCCUCAAGUUAAUAACUUAAAGUUUAUCAUGAAAUUUAGUGUCUCCUUGAUGGACAAAAAACGGGCAUUGUACUAUCAGCUUCACCUCUUCUUUUCGAUGAAUCUUGUGGAGGUGCUCCGCUAUCCUCUCAAGGAAAUUCCACUGCUUCAGCCAGUAGUAUUGGUAGCAUGAUGGGAGGGGUAGUUGGGUCAGAUACAGGUUGGAAACUGUUCAAUGAAGGGUCUUCUUUGGUUGAAGAAGGUGUGGUCAUAUUCGUCACCUAUCAAACUGCACUGGUGGUAUGAAGUCCUCAAAUGAUUGCACGGAUUCCAGUAUUUGUUGCAUUGAGUUUGAUGCUUUCUUCUUUUUGGACAUUUCUUAUUUAAAAUCUGUUGAAGGUUCUUUUUUUAAUUGCAGGUAAGACUUACUCCCACAUUAGAAGUCUAUGCACAAAUUCCUAGGCCCGAUGGGGUCCGAGAGGGUGCUAUGCCUUACACUGCUUGGAAAUGCAUGACAACAUGUCGAAGUUCUACAACAGGUAUGAAUUUUCUGGGUUUGUUAAAAUUCAUGUUGACAACUUUCUAAUGCUGAAUAUCUUGCAGAAAGUAUUCCCACUGAAGCAGCAGAGAGAGUUUCAUUGCUUGCAAUUGCUUGGGAUCGGAAAGUUCAGGUUGCAAAGUUGGUCAAAUCAGAGCUUAAAGUAUAUGGGAAGUGGUCCCUUGACAGUGCAGCCAUUGGUGUGGCCUGGUUGGAUGAUCAGGUAGCCUUAUUUGUUUGGUUUUUUGUCUUAUCUCAAAUGCAAUUAAAUUACUUUGGUUUCUAAUGGUCAAUGACUCUUCCUUCACUUUCCAAUUUAUGUUUACAGCAUUCCUCUUGUCGAUAUUAAAAUAUUUGUAUGGCUGACUUUUUCCAGAUGCUGGUGGUUCUUACACUGUUGGGACAGCUAUAUUUGUACGCAAGAGAUGGAACUGUAAUUCAUCAAACUAGUUUUGCAGUUGAUGGAUCUCAAGGAUAUGAUCUUGUUGGAUAUCAUAGCUACUUUACUAAUGUUUUUGGGAACCCUGAGAAAUCCUAUCAUGAUUGCAUAAGCGUAAGAGGAGCUUCCAUAUAUGUACUCGGACCUAUGCAUCUUGUUGUUUCCCGACUUCUUCCUUGGAAGGAACGAAUUCAGGUUCUGCGGAAAGCAGGUGACUGGAUGGGUGCCUUGAACAUGGCUAUGACACUUUAUGAUGGACAAGCUCAUGGUGUUAUCGACCUUCCCAGAACCCUAGAUGCUGUUCAGGAGGCCAUAAUGCCUUAUCUGGUUGAGUUGCUACUAUCAUAUGUAGAUGAAGUAUUUUCAUAUAUUUCAGUGGCAUUUUGCAACCAAAUUGAGAAACUGGCACAACUUAACAAUCCACAAAGUAGAAGCAGUACUGUUCACGCUGAAAUUAAAGAGCAGUUCACCCGUGUUGGUGGUGUAGCUGUUGAAUUCUGUGUCCAUAUCAAUAGGACUGACAUACUUUUCGAUGACAUUUUCUCCAAAUUUGAGGCUGUUCAACAUAGAGGUACUCAUGGCGUCAAUUUCCACUUGGUCUUAAUGCUUGUGUUGAACUAUAUUUUGAGUGUGAUAUUGAAAUUUAGACCUUUGUUGAUACGUUCAAAUGGAAAAUGAGAAUCCAUAUUGUGUGAGUCAGUCAUGAUGAAGAGUGAUAAUAUCUGUCGCAAAAGAAUAUCAUGGUUGAAAGCAAAAAAGGCUUGAACGUUAGGUUACUAUUGUGUUAAAAUGUAGAUGGAAUUUAAUUUGCAUUAAACUUCAUGCAAAAUUAAACUUUGAAGUGGGUUUCCUUUUCCAUAUGGUAUCCUGAGGAAGCAACUUUUCUGAUUACAUAGUUGCCUAAGACAAAUUUUGCUGACUGCGGCAUCAAAUGAAAUUUUUUCAAUGACUUGGGUUACUGUUUGCUAGACACAUUUCUGGAGCUUUUGGAGCCAUAUAUUUUGAAGGACAUGCUUGGAUCUCUCCCCCCCGAGGUAAUUUUUAGUGUUGAAACAUUUAGCCUUAUUAUUAGUUUUGUCAUACAUUUUAAUUCUUUUUUUUUCUUUUUUAAUUUUUAAAUUUCUCCUCAAAGAUAAUGCAAGCUCUGGUAGAGCAUUAUAGCUCCAAGGGAUGGUUGCAGCGAGUUGAGCAAUGUGUCCUUCAUAUGGACAUUUCUUCUUUGGACUUCAAUCAGGUCAUAUUGCAUCAUAGUUUACAAUUCUUUGUCAGUCAUUUCUUAUUUCAAAAUUCAAAUAAACUUUUUUCCUAACUGCAGUGGUAUGUAUCAAUCAUUUUGUAGGUUGUCAGGUUAUGCCGAGAGCAUGGACUCCAUGGUGCUUUAGUGUAUCUUUUUAACAAAGGAUUGGAUGAUUUCCGUGCCCCUUUAGAAGAGCUGUUGGUAGUUCUACGUAAUAGUGAAAGAGAAAGUGCUUAUGCCCUUGGGUAUGUUUCCGAAUAUGCAGGACUUAUUUUCUGUUAAUUGAAUAUAGAAAUUUCCAUGAACUCCCCCCCCCCCCCCCCCNNNNNNNNNNNNNNNNNNNNNNNNNNNNNNNNNNNNNNNNNNNNNNNNNNNNNNNNNNNNNNNNNNNNNNNNNNNNNNNNNNNNNNNNNNNNNNNNNNNNNNNNNNNNNNNNNNNNNNNNNNNNNNNNNNNNNNNNNNNNNNNNNNNNNNNNNNNNNNNNNNNNNNNNNNNNNNNNNNNNNNNNNNNNNNNNNNNNNNNNNNNNNNNNNNNNNNNNNNNNNNNNNNNNNNNNNNNNNNNNNNNNNNNNNNNNNNNNNNNNNNNNNNNNNNNNNNNNNNNNNNNNNNNNNNNNNNNNNNNNNNNNNNNNNNNNNNNNNNNNNNNNNNNNNNNNNNNNNNNNNNNNNNNNNNNNNNNNNNNNNNNNNNNNNNNNNNNNNNNNNNNNNNNNNNNNNNNNNNNNNNNNNNNNNNNNNNNNNNNNNNNNNNNNNNNNNNNNNNNNNNNNNNNNNNNNNNNNNNNNNNNNNNNNNNNNNNNNNNNNNNNNNNNNNNNNNNNNNNNNNNNNNNNNNNNNNNNNNNNNNNNNNNNNNNNNNNNNNNNNNNNNNNNNNNNNNNNNNNNNNNNNNNNNNNNNNNNNNNNNNNNNNNNNCCCCCUUCUCUCUCAAGCUUGCAAUAUCAAAGCCUUAUGCCACUAUUACUGAUCCCACAAAAUUGUAUUGCAAUAUGGGAGCUACCGCUAGGACACAUGCCACCUGUCUGGUGGAAUUUUUAUUACACUUGUAUGAAACCCACAACAUUUGGCACAUGUCUUACUGGUGUAUAAAACACACUGUAGAGAAAUGUUUUUACUUGUCAGGGUCUGGGAUUGGAUGGGGCAAAUAUAUGUGUGGUAGUAGGUUGAUUAUUUUCUUCAAGCCACAUGGUUUUCUGAAAAAAGAUAAUUAAAUAAUAUCUUUGACUUAUACUCCAAUUAUUCAAUCCACUUACUAGCAUCUUAUAGUGAUUUCAUUGGGAAUAACAAUUAGUCCUAUAUAAUAAAUAUCUGGUUUGUCUUUCUCUUUGUACUGCUGAUUGUUCGUUUAGGUGGUUUGAUCUAGAUAUUACUUGAAAAGGUUAUUUUGUUUUGCUUUUCUGGUAACAGUUACAGGAUGCUUGUAUAUCUCAAGUAUUGCUUCAAAGGUCUUGCUUUUCCACCAGGUAAGACUUAAGUCUUCUAAUUUCAUUUUCACAGUGAUACGCUGAAUUGUAGAAAGUUUGCUUCUUGUCAAAAAUUUAUGACGCUCAACGUGUUGCUGGUUAUUAGCCAAGGAUUGAAAAUAUUCUGAUACAUUAAAUGGAAAUGGCCAGUUUCUCUUUGAAAUUAUUUAAGUUCUUGCAUUGUGUUUGAAAUUUUUGAAAUGGUAACUGAAGCCGAGCUGCUUCUCUAGGUAAUAUUGUAUUAGUUGUAACCUUUGUACUGCUUGAUUCUUAAAUUUCUCAAAGAAAUCGCUAUCACGGAUUUGACCAAGAAUUGUGGAGUAAUCAUAUACUCUAUUGCAGGUCAUGGAACUCUUCCUUCCACACGCUUGCCAUCUCUUAGAGCAGAACUUGUGCAGUUUCUUUUGGAGGAAUCUGAUGCCCAGAAUUCACAAGCAGCUUCAAGCUUAUUGCUGAAAGGAUCAUAUCUGAAUCUGUAUCAUCUCUUGGAAUUGGACACUGAAGCUACUUUAGAUGUUCUGAGAUGUGCUUUCAUAGAAGUUGAGACGCCAAAAUCUGACUUUUAUGCAUGUGAUAUGGCUGACACAAAUGCGGAGCCUAACAACGGAAACAAGAUGGUGGCUGAAUAUCAGAAUAUGCUGGUUCAGAAUACUGUAAAUGCUCUUGUGCAUAUUCUUGAUGAGGAUAUCUCUUCAACAGAUGGAUCUGCUAGCAAGGAUGAUAGUGGAUCAGUAGAAGCUUGGCCAUCUACGAAGGACAUAGGUCACAUAUUUGAGUUCAUUGCAUGCUAUGUUGCAUCUGGAAGAGCUACUGUCUCAAAAAGUGUACUGAGUCAGAUUCUACAGUACUUGACAUCAGAAAAGAAUGUCCCACAAAGUAUUCUAUCACAUAUUGAAACUUCUAAAAGAAGAGAAAAGCAGCUUCUAGCGCUUCUGGAAGCAGUGCCGGAGACUGAUUGGAAUGCAUCUGAAGUGUUACAUCUAUGUGAGAAUGCCCAUUUUUAUCAGGUAUCUUUAUCAUUCACAAUCUUAAGGUAUUAUCACUUGGAGAUACAGGAACAGUUCUAAAAAUUUGUCUCAGUUCAUGCUUAAUUAUUCUUAUUGAUCUUAUUUUCAGGUUUGUGGUUUAAUUCAUACCAUCAGAUAUAACUAUCUUGCUGCUCUGGAUAGCUACAUGAAAGAUGUCGAUGAACCUAUUUGUGCCUUUUCUUUCAUCCAUGAUACAUUACUACAACUGACUGACAAUGAAUAUACUGCUUUCCACUCAGCAGUCAUCUCCCGGAUUCCAGAGCUGAUUUGCUUAAGCCGGUAAUGCCUUUUUUUUUUGGCUCAAUUGGUUAAGGCAUAUAUUCUGUCUUAUUUCUUAGCUUUUAUUCUGCCUUAUUUCUUAGCUUUUCCUUUUCGGAUCUUUUUUUUAAUUUUUUUUGCAGAGAGGCAACAUUCUUCUUAGUCAUUGACCAAUUCAAUGAUGAAGCUUCACAUAUCCUCUCUGAACUUCGCUCUCAUCCAAAAAGUCUUUUCCUUUAUUUGAAGACGGUUGUUGAGGUUCACUUGCAUGGAACCCUCAACUUAUCUUAUUUAAGAAAAGAUGAUACGCUGGAUGUUGCUAAUUGUAAAUGGGUGAAGUAUCAGUCAAAAGGAUUGGGGGCUUACAUUGAAAGAAUUUCUGACCUCCCUAAAUUCCUGUCUAGUAACGCAGUUCAUGUGACUGAUGAUAUGAUUGAGCUUUACUUGGAGGUGAGCACUUUUGUAAUACAUCUUUCCCUUGCCAUAUUUAGCAUGUGCUUGGUCUCAGUGACACCGAAUAGUCUUUGCUUUCAUUAUGAUUUGACUGUUUACGUAGUUGUAGACCUCUUCUGUCAAGUACUCAGGUUUGGAGGAAAUCAGAAGAUUUAAAAAAAAAUUGUAUUUACUUGCCCAUUCUUUGACACUAUUAAGGUUAUCUUAUUCUGUAAUAUCUCUGGUUUCAUGGCCUCUUUAUUUGUUGCAUUAGUUUAAUUACUGCUUAUCCGCCAAUAAGUUACAGAGGAAGCACCUUUUCACUUCAUGAAGGCAUCUCAGGUUCUAAUUAUGAUGCACUUUACUUUUGCAGUUAUUAUGUCGGUAUGAACGAGAUUCAGUUCUCAAAUUCUUAGAAACUUUUGAUAGCUAUCGGGUGGAAUACUGUUUACGCCUGUGCCAAGAGUAUGGAAUCACAGAUGCAGCUGCAUUUUUAUUAGAAAGGGUUGGAGAUGUGGGAAGUGCUCUCUUACUUACACUAUCUGAACUUAAUGAUAAGUUUGCUGCGCUUGAGACUGCUGUGGGAAGUGCCCUUCCUAUAGCAGUUUCUAAUGGAUCAGUCAGUGUAGAGCAUUUCAGCACUGUUUUAAAUAUGGAGGAGGUUUGUAAAGGGAUAUCUUUUGUUUGAUGAGCAUGAGAACAUAAUUUGUGUAGAAUGCAGCAUAUUUUGGCAAUUUAAUAAUUCAUGUGAUCUUUCUCUUAUAGGUCAAUGAUGUAAAUAAUAUAUUGCGUGCCUGUAUUGGGUUGUGCCAGCGGAACACUCCUCGUCUGAAUCCAGAAGAGUCAGAAGUGCUCUGGUUUAAAUUACUUGAUUCGUGAGUUCCAAUUACUAUUUGCUUUCUUGCUUUCUCAAUUUCUUGAUUCAUAUGCUGUCAUGAUUUCACACAAGUUUUAUGUCAUUUGAUGGACUUCUGACUUUCAUUUAUGAAUUGAAAAGUCAGAUAUGUGGUUGCAUGUGAAAUAAUCAAUAGAGCAUUAGUCAGAAUCAUUUUUCCAUUGUUUCUACUAAGGAAUGGAAUAUCUCCGUAGUUACACUGACGAAAUGAAGAUGAAGGGGUGAGAUUACAGAAUUAGUUAUAGAAACCCAAAAAUGUAGAGAAAAGCAGAUAAACAGUGGACUCCGGUAUGAAGGAUCAGGUUCUAAUUAAUGUGGAGGGUUUAGUUUUUGCACAAUUCUGAAAAGAGUUUAGAUUUCUGCUAGAUUUUCACUUCUGGUUGUUUCACUGCAAUAAUUACACUCUUUCUCAUCUAAUAGUCUCUGAAUUCAGUGUCUCUCAGAAACCUUUUUCCCUAGCUAAAAUAAAUGAGGAAACC